rnacentral:lncRNA from 1 species
AAAAAAUAAAGAGAGGUCAACUCAAUCUUUAUCAAAUGAAAUUAAAGUUUAUUUUAAAACACAAACAACUAGUUCAUUGAAAUGAUAACUUGUUUAGUACACAAACAAGAUCUUACUUAAUACAUAGAAAUAAGAUCUUACGGAACAUAGAGAUUAAAAACAUAGGAACAACAUGAAAAGUUUUUAAAAUGACAUAGAUAUUGAUUAACAAAGAUAUGAACUAGUUUCGGGUAUUUUUUAACCAUCCAUCAAGGUAAACUUGUUUGGAGUCAGGGGUGGAUUUUGGUCUAAUAUCUUUCAACCAUCCAUCAAGGUAAACUUGGUUGGAAUCAGAGGAGGAUUUUGCUUUUUCAGCUCGAGUGUCUUUCAACCAACCAUCAAGAUAAACUUGUUUGGGAUCAGAGGUGGAUUUUGUUUUCUCUGCUCGAGUAUCUUUCAACCACCCAUCAAGGUAUACUUGGUUGGAGUCAGGGGUAGAUUUUGUUCUCUCGUUUCGAAUAUCUUUCAACCAUCCAUCAAGGUAAACUUGGUUGGAAUCAGAGGAGGAUUUUUCUUUUUCAGCUCGAGUGUCUUUCAACCAACCAUCAAGAUAAACUUGUUUGGGAUCAGAGGUGGAUUUUGUUUUCUCUACUCGGGUAUCUUUCAACCACCCAUCAAGGUAUACUUGGUUGGAGUUAGGGGUAGAUUUUGUUCUCUCGUUUCGAAUAUCUUUCAACCAUCCAUCAAGGUAAACUUGGUUGGAGUCAGAGGAGGAUUUUUCUUUUUCAGCUCGAGUGUCUUUCAACCAACCAUCAAGAUAAACUUGUUUGGGAUCAGAGGUGGAUUUUGUUUUCUCUACUCGGGUAUCUUUCAACCACCCAUCAAGGUAUACUUGGUUGGAGUCAGGGGUAGAUUUUGUUCUCUCGUUUCGAAUAUCUUUCAACCAUCCAUCAAGGUAAACUUGGUUGGAGUCAGAGGAGGAUUUUUCUUUUUCAGCUCGAGUGUCUUUCAACCAACCAUCAAGAUAAACUUGUUUGGGAUCAGAGGUGGAUUUUGUUUUCUCUACUCGGGUAUCUUUCAACCACCCAUCAAGGUAUACUUGGUUGGAGUCAGGGGUAGAUUUUGUUCUCUCGUUUCGAAUAUCUUUCAACCAUCCAUCAAGGUAAACUUGGUUGGAGUCAGACAUGGUUUUUGUUUGCUUUGCUCGAGUAUUUUUCAACCAUCCAUCAAGGUAAACUUGGUUGGAGUCAGAUGUAGAUUUUUCUUUCUCAGCUCGGGGAUCUUUUAACCAUCCAUCAAGAUAAACUUGUUUGGAGUCAGAGGUGGAUUUUGUUUUCUCUGCUCGGGUAUCUUUCAACCAUCCAUCAAGGUAAACUUGAUUGGAGUUAGGCAUGGACUUUUCUUUCUCGACUCUGAUAUUUUUCAACCAUCCAUCAAGAUAAACUUGGUUUGAGUCACUUGCAGGUUUUGUUUUCUCAACUCGGGUAUUUUUCAACCAUCCAUCAAGGUAAACUUGGUUGGAUUCAGAGGUGGAUUUUGCGUUCUCUGCUCUGGUAUCUUUCAACCAUCCAUCAAGGUAAACUUGGUUGGAGUUAGGUGUUGACUUUUCUUUCUCAGCUCUGAUAUCUUUCAACCAUCCAUCAAGAUAAACUUGGUUGGUGUCACCGGUAGAUUUUGCUUUCUCAGCUCGAUUAUCUUUCAACCAUCCAUCAAGGUAAACUUGGUUGGAUUCAGAGGUGUCUUUUGCUUUCUUUGCUCUGGAAUCUUUUAACCAUCCAUCAAGAUAAACUUGAUCAGAGUUCUGGGAGGAUUUGGUUUUCUCUGCUCGUGUAUCUUUCAACCAUCCAUCAAGAUAAACUUGGUUAGAGUUAGCAAUGUGUUUUUGACUCUUCAAUGGAUUUUUGAGCCAACCAUCAAGGUAAGGUUGAUCAACUUGUAUUUCUUGUACAUUCUCUUGCUGAAGUUUGAUAUAUCGGGCAAAGCUUCCUUGUCCAUUCUAUAAUACAAUUGAAUAAAUGGAUAUUAGUGAGUUAUUUUUGGAUGGUAUAUAUGAUUACAAAAACAAAAUAAUGUGUUUUAUAAGACACAUUAUGUUGCACAGGUGAGACACAUUCAUUAUAUAUUUCAGAUGGAUACAAAAUGUGAAAUAAAAAUGAAAGAAAAACAAUUUUUAAAAUUUCAUUGCGGCAUAGAAAACAUUAUUUUAUCAAAUCAAAUAGAACAACUUGAUUGUAAGUGAAUGAUGAAAUCAAAUCAAAUAAAGAUGAGAAAUGAUAGAUUGUGAUAAAUAAAUGAUGAAAAAUAUAAGUGUAAAAGAUACAAGAAUGGAUGCAAAGUUAGUAACUUACGAUCAACAAGAGCAUGAUAAAAGGGAGGAGAAACAAAACAUCUUUGUGUGUCAUUUCUUUAAUGUUAUGAUUUUGUGGGAAAAUUGUUUUAAUGUGAAAAGAUGUAUUGAAAUGGAAGUGAAUUGGGCUAUUUAUAAGUGAAUGAAAAGAAAAACUACAUUAAGGAUAUUAAGGACAUUGCGACUUUGGUUGGCAAGAUUAUUUUUUAAAUAUUUAAUUUAUUUUAUUUUUUAAAUGUUUAGUUUAAUUUAUAAGUUUAUAUGUCUAAGAAAGAUCAAUUUACUUUUUCCAAGAUCUAUUAGGUGUGUUGUUUUGAGUUAUAAAUAAAAAAUUCAAAAAAUUGUUUGUUUGGUAUCAUUUUUUUAAUUAGAAGCUCCUAACUAAAUUCUCCAGGUUUAAAAUAAAUAAAUUUUAGAAAAGCUACUGCAAUUAGUUUUUUAUUUUAAAAUUAAAAAUGAUUCUCUUAAAAACUUUAAUAAAAACCUAUUAAAAUGAUAAAGGUGAUUUUUUAAAUGUUAAACAAACAUUUAUUUUGAUAAGUUAUUUCAAAUAAUUUAAAAUUUCAUAAAUUUAUUUUAAUUUAUAAUUGAAGUGGUAAUUAUCAUAAUCUCGUCUCUUGAGUUCUAAUAUUUGAGCUAAUAGUAUAAAUAUUUUUUAGUUGAAUUAAAAUUUGCAUUAAUGAUAGUUUCAAUUUUACAAUUAAUUAAACUAAUUUAGUAGUUAAUUUUAUUAAGUGUAAUAAAUGCAAUGAAUUAAUUUAACUACAUCCCCUUUAAUUCGAGGUGGGUGUAGGUAUUCCGAGACAUUCAAAUUUGAAGACUAAUAUAUAGAUUAAAAUUAUUUAUUAAUUUAUUUAAUGGUAAUUACAUAUUACAAAAUUUCAUUUUUGGAAAAAAGUUAUUAUUUUAAUAUUUUAUAUUUUUUAAUAGUUAUUAUUUUAUAAAAUUAAUUAUAAUGAGUAUAAUAUUUUAAUUUUAUUAUCAUCAAAUAUACACGACAUCAAAAUUACCAAACAUGAAAUCUAAAUAUAGGGAUCCAAUUAAUUGAAUUGGAAUUUACAUUGUGAAUCAUGAGUCUUCUGCCACCAAUUCCUAGGGACUCACUACCUAGCAAACAAUGAAUACAAAAUAGUAUCACAAGAAACACUAAAAUACUGUGUUGACCCUUGCAUGUUUAAGAUGUUCACAUGUAGCUAGGGUUUGGGUGGUUAUGUAGUUAUGCUUACCUAAUAGUAAGACUGUGUUGACCUUUGCAUGUUUAAGAUGUUCACAUGUAGCUAGGGUUUGCGUGGUUAUGUAGUUAUGCUUAUCUAAUAGUAAGUUAAAAAAUUGUAGUUAUCUAAAAAGUAAUAAAUUAUUAUAUUGACCGGUCUAAAGAGAAGAUAGAUAAGUUANGUAGUUAAUUUUAUUAAGUGUAAUAAAUGCAAUGAAUUAAUUUAACUACAUCCCCUUUAAUUCGAGGUGGGUGUAGGUAUUCAGAGACAUUCAAAUUUGAAGACUAAUAUAUAGAUUAAAAUUAUUUAUGUUCGUCUUAUAUAUUUUUUUUUUAUAUUUUAAUAUAAAUAUUUAUUAAUUUAUUUAAUGGUAAUUAUAUAUUACAAAAUUUCAUUUUUGGAAAAAAGUUAUUAUUUUAAUAUUUUAUAUUUUUUAAUAAUUAUUAUUUUAUAAAAUUAAUUAUAAUGAGUAUAAUAUUUUAAUUUUAUUAUCAUCAAAUAUACACGACAUCAAAAUUACCAAACAUGAAAUCUAAAUAUAGGGAUCCAAUUAAUUGAAUUGGAAUUUACAUUGUGAAUCAUGAGUCUUCUGCCACCAAUUCCUAGGGACUCACUACCUAGCAAACAAUGAAUACAAAAUAGUAUCACAAGAAACACUAAAAUACUGUGUUGACCCUUGCAUGUUUAAGAUGUUCACAUGUAGCUAGGGUUUGGGUGGUUAUGUAGUUAUGCUUACCUAAUAGUAAGACUGUGUUGACCUUUGCAUGUUUAAGAUGUUCACAUGUAGCUAGGGUUUGCGUGGUUAUGUAGUUAUGCUUAUCUAAUAGUAAGUUAAAAAAUUGUAGUUAUCUAAAAAGUAAUAAAUUAUUAUAUUGACCGGUCUAAAGAGAAGAUAGAUAAGUUAUUAUAAUCAAAUAUUAUCUAAAAAACAAUAAAUUAUAAGGAAUAUAGUUUCAUUAUUUUUAUGUUUAUUUAAAAAAUAUAAAUAUUUUUUAAAUUAAUGAUAAAUAAUUGAUUUUAAAUGUGAUGAUGGUUUAUAUCUUUACAUAAGAAACUAAAUGAUAAAAUGUGAAUAUUCAUAUCUAACAUUAAAUAUUUAUCUAAAUAUGUAGGCCAGCCUCAUAUUUAUUGUAAAUUUUUUAACAAAGCUUUUAAUAAUGUAAAUUAGAAUAAUGUAGGCCAGCCUCUCUAUUUAUAUAAAAAAAAUAUUUUUUAAAAUAUUUUUAUAAUAAAAAUAUAAAAUUUGUCACAAAACAAUUUUAUUAUUUUAUUAACUAUAAAAAUAUAGGUUAUAAAUCACAUAUUUCAUUUAUAAUUCAUUAACCAGUAAAAUACGUAAUAUUAAUCAAAUUAUAAUAUUAAAAUAUGAAAUACACAAUUUGCUUAAUUAUUAAUUAUUAUAUUUUAUAUUUUAAUGUCAAAAUUUAUUGAUAUUAUUUAUUUUAUUAAUUGAAUACAGUAAUAAAUAAAAUAUAUGGUUAAUCACCUAUAUUUUUGUGAUUAAUAUAAUAAUAAAAUUAAUUAAUAACAAACUUUAUAUUUAUAUUAUAAAAAUAAUUAUAAAAAUAAAUCAAAAACGAGUUUAAGACAACAUAGGAAAAAGGGAGACUCGGAUAUCGUAUCUCAAAGACGGUUGAAUUAUUAUUAAUAUACUGGAAUCGAAUUGGGGGUUUAUAUUUGAUUCAUAAUAAAUGAUUAUGAAAAGUGAUUAUAAAAUAAGUUGAUUUAUUGAUUCGGUUCCUACCUACCAUUGAUUAUUAUAGCGCGAAUGAAAGUGUAAGAAUUAUGUUUCUUAUUUGCUGAAUUAAGCAAUCAGUUAAGAUUAAAGCGAAUUAACGGAUUAAGCAUACGUUAACACGCAAUCAAAAUUAGGGAACAAUAAAUAUUCAAAUCAAACAAAAUUACUAAGUUUGAAAUUGUACCUCAUUCAGGUCUUGGUUCAAGCAUCCCUAUGUGCAUCACAUUUAACUUUGCAUAGGCCAUGAACUCAAGUCUUUUGGUAUGGAAAAAUGCAUAGAUCCAUAUGCCCGAUUCACUUCAUUCAUAUGAUGCAGAUGAUCAAGGAUGAUUGAUCCAUUUAAGACUUAGUUCCAUUGGUUCAUUCUUUGUUGCUUAAGAAAUCUCAGGGUUUUACUAAGAAGAAAGAGGUCGAGACCAGUGUCGUGAUAGUAAAUAUCUACCCUCAAGUUCAAGCACCUAUGACUCAUGUGUCAUACUACCCUUAUCUGUACAUUGUCGCUGCUCAAUAUCAGCAACCUGCAUACCAACCGCAAUAUCAACAGCCUCCAUGGGCUCCAAUUUCUCAGAAUCAACAAAAUAGCAGAAACCAGAGUCUAGGUCAGGGCAGACGUUAUGAUAGAAAACGUCCUCAGCCUGACCAUAUCCCUGUAUCAUACACUCAGUUGUUGUCGUAUCUUGUCCAGUAAGGAGCAAUUGCGCCAAAAGAGAUUCCGCCUGCAACUCCUCCCUAAAAUCACAAGCAUAAUCCUAAUGUGUCUUGUGCAUUUCAUGUCGGAUACAUAGGGCAUUCUACAGAGGAUUGUUUGGUCCUCAAGACCAUAGUACAAGAGUUAAUUGAUCAUAAGGUUUUGUAAUUCUCUGAGGCAGGACCCAAUGUCAUAACCAACCUAUUGCCAGACCACUGUGGACAGAUAGUGAAUGCAGUUUAUGGCGAAGAUUCCUCAGAUUCAGUUGAUUCUUCAGAGAAGUACUGAUGCUAGCAAUAUCAUAUUGAUUCAAUCAUGUAUCAUUUGUAAUCUUUUCUUGUUUGUUAAUUGUUGUUCAUUUGUAAAACUUGUCUGGUUUUUCAGAUGAUAAUAAUAAUGAAAUAAGCGUGCAUGUUUUGCUUAAAUCCAUUCGUGUUCACUCAUAUUUUAUUUUAUCAGUAUCAAAUUGUUUGUCGAACAAAAUCAAAAGAGAAUGAUGAAAUUAAAAAUAUGCAAGAUCGCUGUUUGUAUGCUUUUGAAUAAGAUCAUGUUGAUGAUGCAAGGCAUUGUUCAAUCCCUAAACACCGGAGAUAUAAGGAAGAUAAUCCCUAGUCAACCCAUUUGGAUGUUGUAGUAGGAGUUUCUUUCUUUAACACAUAAAAUCCUCAUGCUUAACUAGGGGCAGGGUAUUCUUCAUUUAGUUUAGACUUGCAUUCAAAUUUCAGAAGGAGAAUAUCUCAUCCAGUGAUCAAUCAUAUCAUAUCCCUCUCAAGAGGAUGGAAUCACAAAUCCAGGAUGGUUAUCCCUUACCAUUCAAAAGGAGUGAGAUAGUCACGACCCAUGCAACAAAUCAAGAAAGUCGUGUCACACGGUUUUCUCUAGUACAAAAAGAAAAGAUGAAAAAAUUAAAAGUCCGCUAAGUCAAAAACUUGAAAACAAGAUUGACUUAUAUGUGUGUGUUUGGGGUGAGUCUGGAGAUGCACCUUCGAACUUCGAAAUGUGUGAGCUUUUUUGUAUUUUUCAUCUCAUGCCCUAGUAAUAUAUAUGGUGCAUUAAAAAAUAUCCAUAAAUUAAGGGAUUUGGUUAACACACUCUUAGGAUUGUUUUUCGACCCUUGUGAAAAAUCAAAACUACCUUUAGAAUUCAGAAAUAAAUCUUUGGACGCACCUCAAACACACACACAAUCAAUUCAUUUUUGAGUCAUGAAGUUAAUUAGGAAAUGCAUCUCCUUAAAUAUUAACGGGGGUGUAUUUUCCAAACCUAUUGAACCACACAGAAUUGCAUAAACCAAACAGAUGCAGAAAUAAAGAUAAAUCACAUUGAUAACAUGAAAAAUGAAAUAUUACAUAGAUAAUCGUUAACAUAAAUCGAACUUUGCAUUUGAACAUCAAGAUGGACGUUUCAACAUAUUUAUAAUAUCUUUUAUCGAUCUCGCAAUCAUCGCAUCCAACUUGAUCAAACAUUUUAUUUCGUAACGGUUAAAUGUAUUUCACAUAACUCUUAAAUCCGCAUCCGUCUUCAGCUUAAAGUUGUUGAACUGAAUCUACCAUUCAUUAUCAACCGAGAGUGAACCUUACUUGAGUUUCACAAUUCUUCAAUGAACUUAAAUGCAAUUGAGGACUCCGCGUAGUUGAGUCAUAUUUCAUGGAGACUCAUAAUGCGUCCAAAAAUGCAUUUCCAAAAUUUUAGUGGCAUUUUUAAAUUUUUAUAGGAUGGUUUUCCAGCACUUAUGUAGAGAUAAACAAUUUCCUUAUUAAAGGUCUCUGAGAGGAAUUGAAAUAAAUAUAUUUAAAAAAUUAGUAUUAUACUUAUUUAAGGAAUAAAGUUUUCUAACCAAAAAUUUUUCCCUAAUUUUUUUGUGCCUAAUUUUUUUGCUAACAAAAUAGAGACCUGAUUAUAUUUCACUAAUUUUCAUUCAUCUCUCAAUUAAUAUCUCUCAUAACCCUCAUUAACUCUCAAUUAAUGUAAUUCAUAUCAAUUAAUUGUUUUUUGAAAAUUUUGUAUCCGGCUUCGGACCAACUAGUUUAGUGAAUUGCUAAUUUCAUCUUUAAGUGUUGGAAAAAUACCUUAUAAAAAUUUGAAAAUACUCUUCUGAUUCCAAAAAUGCAUCUUCGGACGCAACUUGCACCUCACCAAAACACGCUUCAACUUGUUGAUGUUUUUUAUGUAAUUCAAGUGGUGUAACUGGUUACCUCAUGUGGUGUAAACGGUUACCACUAAAGUUGAUUUAAUUCAAUAUCAGAUGUAACCGAUUAUCCACUUUUGUGUAACGAUUACAAGCUUAAUAUUUUGAUUUUUUCUGAUAUUUUACUUGGUCAAUUCAGUUCCCAAUUGUGUUGUAUCUCUUGUAUAAGUGUUUAGAAUGUACACUCAUCUAAGGUUAAUGCAAUAAUAAUCUCUCAUCCUCAAUUCUCCUCUUUCACACUCCACAUCCAAAGUAUCUCCACCAUUAUUCACCAAACUUGUGGUGUCCUGUUCCAACAUUUGACAUCAAGAGUCUGGUUCAGAUCCACAAACACUUAGUGUGCAACAUGAAUUAUGUUUCCAAUGAAAAAAUCCCUCCAAACCUACCUAUCCUUGAUGCGAAGAAUUAUGAUAAAUGGUACAAGGAAAUGAAGAUGUUGUUUGGCUACCAAGAUGUUCUUACAGUAACUCUUAAGAGAAAAUAGUUGUCCCUGACCUACUUUGAGUCUCCGUAGGGAAAUUGGACUGGCAAAGAGGGUAGAAGGAGGAAACUACUCAAGUGAGCUUGAAGCAACAAAGGCAGUGAGUUUAGUUCCCACGCGGGGAAGAACGUUUAUAACAAGAGCCAGGAAGAUAAAUUAUUUUAUAAUACCUUCUCAAAAGUAAAAUGAGCUAUGAGAAAGAGCAAGAAUCUCAAGCGAUUGGCUGAACUUAACCUAGCUCGAGCUACAUGGCGGUUGAUCAAGGGAUACCGGAAAGAGGCAAACAACAGAACCUCCGGGUUUGAAGCUUUUCAUGUCGGGGCGAGGUCAAUCAAGGGUUUUGGGUCAGUGAAAGCUCGAGUGCCCCCUUCAAAAGUAAGGUGUCGGGAAUGCAACCAGUGAGGUGACCCGUUCCGUUAGGGCGGAUGAAAGAAGUUAUCCUGAAGCAGCGUCAAAGGCCUCUGUAGGCCCUUCAACAGGAUUUUUUGUCGUGUAGCAUUCUGUUUUGGCUACUCACGAAACUCUUUAUCCUUAAUAGGAAGAACUCCCUUUAGAGGAAGGAUACAAAGACCAAGCCUGUCUUUCUCUCUUAAAAAGGGCAUAUGGGGCAGGGCAGAAAGACUAUUUUAGGGGACUAAUCUGCUAAUGAAUGAAGGAAGGAGAAGGCCUUAAUUGUCUAUCCAAAGGUCCGCCUUGGGUGGAUUUAGGCGAAUCAAGUGGGUGGGAAUGAUCCGAGCCCCCUAUGUAAAUUUCAGUAAGGUAACUAAGGUUUACAAUAAUUCAUUUCAGUAGUGCGUUACCUUGCAGCUCUAUCUAUCGGGUAGUCAGUCUCUUGGUCAAAAGCCGGUACCUAAUUCCCCUGCUGGUGGGCCGAUCCUCGUCUAGCGGUGGGAACCGGCUGGUAUGGAUCAAUUGCUUGCCCUGUCUCUCUUCUGUUCAACCAUCGAGAAUCCGCAGUUAUCUUUGCUCAUUGGGUGGGCGAAGGAAUCCUUUCUAUUGAAUAAGGGCUUUGAGAAGCAGGCCAUUCCGUUCCAGUUAGCACCGUAUCCCGCUUUUCCGAUAGCAAAGGGCCUUCUAAUUAGCGUGCUUUGCUUAACCCGGCAAGAUCCGAGAUCAGACCUAGUCCUGCUGACCCGCUACCCUUGAAAACAUACUUUUUGCCACCUUACGACUGGUGUGAAGGAACUUAUUGCACAUAUUUAACAUGGGGAAGGAAAGAGGAGGGAAUAAAGCAUAUUUUAGGCAUCGANUUAAGAAAUGUCCAUGAAUUAAGGGAUUUGGUUAACGCACUCUUAGGGUUGUUUUUCGACCCUCGUGAAAAAUCAAAACUACCUUUAGAAUUCAGAAAUAAAUCUUUGGACGCACCUCAAACACACAUAAUCUGUUCAUUUUGUAGUCAUGAAUUUAAUUCGGAAAUGCAUCUCCUUAAAUAUUUAUGGAGGUGUAUUUUCAGAACCUACUUAACCACAAAGAAUUUCAUAAACCAAACAGAUGCAGAAACAAAGAUAAAUCACAUUGAUAACAUUGAAAAAUGAAAUAUUACAUAGAUAAUCGUUAACAUAAAUCGAACAUUAUAUUUGAACAUUAAGAUGGACGUUUCAACAUCUUUAUAAUAUCUUUUAUCGAUCUCGCAAUCAUCGCAUCCAACUUGAUCAAAUAUUUUGUUUCGUAACGGUUAAAUGUAUUUCAGAUAACUCUUAAAUCUGCAUUCGUCUUCAGCUUAAAAUUGUUGAAAUGAAUCUUCGAUUCAUUAUCAAUCGAGAGUGAACCGUACUUGAGUUUUGUAAGAACAAAAAUAGUUCUACAAUAGAUUCCAUGAUUUUGAUGAUAACAAAGGAUGAAACCAAAAAUGGCACCCUAACGAAAAGUUUCUAAGUGUGCAGGGUUCUAAAGAAAGAAGAAAUAAAUCUGAUGAUGUCAUCAGAUGCAAAACAAGAUCAGAUGUAAAAUCUCAAGUAUCAGAAGCAUCUAAAGAGGAAUCUCAUUCAAGAAGCUCUGACUCUGGACAAAACUACAAAGUAUCAGAAGCAUCUGAACAUGAAGUAAAGUCUAGAAGCUCUGACUCUGAACAAAUGCCUUCUGUAAAUUCUGAAGUUAUCAGCGCCAUCUGAACUUUCAAGAGAUAACAUCAGAAGCCAGUUUCUCCAGAUACACAAAGACUCUAAUCAGAAUUGUUAAUCAUGAUGAAGUAACGUUUAAGCCAAGUUAAAGUUCUGCAAAUGGAUUUCCUCAAUUAGAAAGAGACGUUAAUCUCCACUUCCAAGAGAGAAGAUACUAAUUGUGGUAAGUAGUCACUUCUAAGAGAAAAAGUCUACUGCAGAAGCUAUUAAUGGAAUGGCGUAACUACAUCUCAAUAUCCAACAGAUUCAACGCUACUUCAACUCUACUUCAACUCCUAUAAAUAGAGAAGAAAUCUCAUUCAGUAAGAAAGAAAUCACUAGCCAAAACUAUACUGAAAUUAUAUCACGCUCAAGAAAAACAUCUUUGUUCUUCAAAGAUUUUCACUAAGCUUUUGCUUAUCAAGUGAAAAAUUUGUUCUUAAGUUUGUAAUAUUUGCUUUCUUAGAAGCACUCUAGAUUACACAUCUUGUAUCUAAUUUUUAUUUGAUUUCCUCAAGUGACUCUUUGUAGUCUGUAGACUUGAGAGGACUAAGAGAUUUUCUUCUCUCUUAGGGGUUGUUUGUAAUCUUUCAAGAUUAGUGGAUUAAGUCCUUGUUGAAGGCGAAAUCACCUUGGCCGGGUGGACUGGAGUAGCUUUGUGUUAUAAGCGAACCAGUAUAAAAUCAUUGUGUGAUUUUCUUUUGCAAAAGCGCUUAUUUUUCAAACAAUUCAAACCCCCCCUUUCUUGUUUUUCUCACCUUCAAUUGGUAUCAGAGCUCCGGCUCUGUUAUUGAUUUUCAAAUCAAACACUUAACCGUGUAGAGAGAUCCAGUGCGAGAAAAACAAAUGGCCCACUCAAAUGAGAAAGAUUCUUACAAUGCCAAGCCUCCUGUUUUUGAUGGAGAAAAGUUUGAUUACUGGAAAGAUAGAAUCGAAAGUUUCUUUCUGGGUUAUGAUGCUGACCUCUGGGACAUUGUCACAGAUGGAUACAAACCUCCAACCUUAAAUGGAGCUGAAGUUCCCAGAAGCAAAAUGUCAGAAGAUCAGAAACGUGAGUUCAAAAAUCAUCACAAGGCCAGAACAAUACUUCUAAAUGCUAUAUCAUACAACGAAUACGAAAAGAUCACCAACAGAGAGACGGCUAAAGAUAUACUUGACUCUCUGAAGAUGACCCAUGAAGGAAACUCCCAAGUCAAGGAGACGAAGGCUCUGGCGUUGAUCCAGAAAUAUGAAGCCUUCAAGAUGGAAGAUGACGAAGCUAUAGAAGCUAUGUUUUCCAGAUUCCAAACUCUUAUUGCAGGUCUUAAAGUGCUAGACAAAGGAUACACGACUGCAGAUCAUGUUAAGAAGAUUGUCAGAAGUCUGCCAAAGAAAUGGAGACCUAUGGUUACUGCUCUGAAGUUAUCAAAGGAUCUGAACAGUAUCAGCCUUGAAGAACUUGUUAGUUCUCUCAGAAGCCAUGAGAUAGAACUAGAGGAGGAUGAGCCUCAGAAAAGGAACAAGUCAGUGGCGCUGAAGUCCAGACCUGAAAGACGGAAGUCAGACAGAACCAAAGCUCUCCAGGCAGAAACUGCAGAUACUGACGACUCUGAACCUGAAGACUCUGAUGAUGAAGAAGAACUGUCCUUACUAACCAGAAGAGUUAAGCAACUCUGGAAAAGAAGGAACAACAACAACUUCAGAAGAUCAAGACCCAGAGGGGAUAGAUCAGAGUCAACUUCAAAAGGUAAACCUAAUAAAGAUAUUACCUGUUUUGAAUGUAAAGAAACAGGUCAUUAUAGAAAUGAAUGCCCCAAGCUGAAGAAAGAUAACUCUAAGAAAGAAAGCUUCAAGAAAAAUGCCUUCAGAACAAAGAAGGGAUUAAUGGCCACCUGGGACGAUAGUGAAUCAGGAUCAUCAGAAUCUGACUCUGAUGAACAAGCCAACGUAGCAUUUAUGGCUACCACAUCCAGCAGCUCAGAUGAAGAAUCUGAAGAGGUAUUUUCUGAACUUUCUAGAUCUGACUUAGAAUCAUGUUUAUCAGAAACUCUUACCUCUCUUCAGAAAUUAAAACAAAAAGUUAAAAGCAUUAAAGGCCUUCUUAAAGCAAAAUCUGAAGAAUGUAGUGAACUUGAGACAACAAUUCUAGCACAUGAAGAUACAAUCAAAUCUUUAACGUUAGAAAGAGAUGGAGCUAAAACAAAAAGCUUAAAAUUAGAAGAAGCGUUGUCUCAAGCACCACAAACUUCAAAUGAAAUUAUUUAUAAAUAUGAAGAAGCCUUUCAGAAGUUUCUGAAGAGUGGAAUAGAUAGGAGUAUUAUGGCAUCCAUGAUUUAUGGAGUAAGUCAGAAUAAUAAAAGGGGAAUUGGGUAUGAUUCUGAUUCUGAUAAAACUUCUACCAGUAACCAAAUUAAAUCACCUUUUUCAUACCACUAUACACACACACAAGAACACAAAUUUAAAAAUGCUAGAAGACCCAAAGUUGUAAGAAACUCUGGGAAAACUAAUCUGAAAGGACCCAAGAGAUUCUGGGUACCGAAAGAUAAGAUUAUCUAUGUUGCAGAUAUCCUAUGCAGCAAAGUUCAGACACCAGUCAUGGUACCUGGACUCUGGAUGCUCGCGACAUAUGACGGGAAGAAAGUCUAUGUUCCAAAGCCUGGAACUUAAAGACGCUGGCUUUGUAGGCUUCGGAGGAGAUCAGAAAGGAAGGAUCAGAGGCUCCGGAACUAUUGGUAAUGGUACUCUUCCCUCUAUAUCUGAUGUUCUUUAUGUAGAAGGAUUAAUGCAUAACUUGUUAUCCAUAAGUCAAUUAAGUGAUAACGGUUAUGAUGUAAUCUUUAAUCAAAAAACGUGUAAAGCCAUUAAUCAGAACGAUGGCUCUGUCCUUUUCACAGGCAAGAGGAAAAACAACAUUUAUAAAAUAAAUCUUUCUGAUUUAAAAGAUCAAAAUGUUAAAUGUUUAAUGUCAGUUCACGAAGAGCAAUGGGUAUGGCAUAGACGCUUAGGCCACAUUAGCAUGAGAAAACUUUCUCAGCUAACUAAACUUGAGUUAGUCAGAGGCUUACCUAAACUGAAGUUUUCUUCAGAUGCUCUGUGUGAAGCUUGUCAGAAAGGAAAGUUUUCAAAAACAUCUUUUAAAAAGAAAAAUGUUGUUUCUACCUCCAAGCCUCUGGAGCUUCUUCACAUUGACUUAUUUGGUCCUGUGAAAACAGCAUCAGUCAAUGGAAAGAAGUAUGGACUAGUAAUCGUUGAUGAUUACAGCCGCUGGACAUGGGUAAAAUUCCUAAAGCACAAGAGUGAGUCUCACUCUGUAUUCACCAGUUUCUGUUCUAAAGUGCAAAAAGAAUUUGACUCUAAAAUUGUUAGAGUCAGAAGUGAUCAUGGUGGAGAAUUUGAAAAUAAAGAUUUUGAAGAAUUAUUUGAUUCUAAUGGAAUAUCCCAUGAUUUCUCCUGCCCUAGAACUCCACAACAAAAUGGAGUUGUAGAGAGGAAGAAUAGGACACUCCAAGAAAUGGCCAGAACCAUGAUCAAUGAAACAAAUGUAGCAAAGCACUUUUGGGCAGAAGCUGUAAAUACAGCGUGUUACAUUCAGAAUAGAAUCUCUAUUAGACCUAUUCUGGAUAAGACUCCCUAUGAACUGUGUAAGGGAAGAAAACCCAACAUUUCAUAUUUUCAUCCUUUUGGAUGCAUUUGCUUUAUAUUAAAUACUAAAGAACAUCUGAACAAGUUUGAUUCCAAAGCACAGAAAGGUAUUAUGUUAGGAUACUCAGAACGCUCUAAAGGCUACAGAGUAUACAACACAGAAACCAAAAUUGUGGAGGAAUCAAUUCAUGUUAGAUUUGAUGAUAAGCUUGACCCUGAAAAGUCAAAGCUAGUUGAAAAGUUUGCAGAUUUAGAGAUCACUCUGGUAGAAUCUGAGAAAACUCCAGAAGCAACUGUCACUCCAGACUCUGAAGAAAUUAAAUCUCCAGAAAUUCCAAGGAAAGUCAAGAGUCGUAGCAACGUAUCUGAAGAUUUGAUUUUGGGAAACAAAGAUGAACCUGUUAGAACCAGAUCUACCUUCAGAACUUCUGAAGAUAUUCCUCUGGGACUAGUGUCUCUGAUUGAGCCUACGUCCUGUGAUGAAGCUCUUCAAGAUAACGAUUGGGUGGCAGCUAUGCAAGAAGAGUUAGAUCAAUUCUCCAAGAAUGAUGUCUGGGAUCUCGUUCCUAAACCCAGAGGCACUCAUGUCAUUGGAACCAGAUGGGUUUUCAGAAACAAACUGAACGAGAAAGGAGAAGUUGUCAGAAACAAAGCACGACUGGUAGCUCAAGGUUAUAGUCAACAAGAAGGUAUUGAUUAUAAUGAAACUUUUGCUCCAGUCGCAAGGUUAGAAUCUAUUCGUCUUCUUGUAUCUUUUGCUAUUAAUCACUCUAUCAAAUUAUACCAAAUGGAUGUCAAGAGUGCAUUUCUUAAUGGUUAUAUUUCAGAAGAAGUGUAUGUCAAUCAACCUCCAGGUUUUGAAAAUUCAAACUUUCCAGAACAUGUUUUCAAACUUAAGAAAUCCUUAUAUGGACUUAAACAAGCUCCCAGAGCUUGGUAUGAACGCUUAAGUAAUUUUCUUCUGGAACAAAAUUUUAUCAGAGGGAAAGUUGAUUCUACACUCUUCUGUAAAAAUCAUAAAAAUGAUCUCAUGAUAUGCCAAAUUUAUGUUGAUGACAUUAUUUUUGGUUCUGCUAAUAUCUCUGUUUGCCAAGAAUUUUCUAAGUUAAUGCAGGCAGAAUUUGAAAUGAGUCUAAUGCAAGAACUAAAGUUCUUUCUGGGAAUUCAAAUUAAUCAAACUCCAGAAGUCACGUACAUUCAUCAAAGCAAGUACAUUAAAGACGUUCUGAAGAAGUUUGAUAUGUCUGAAUGCAACUCUGCAAAGACUCCUAUGCACCCAACUUGCAUUCUGGAAAAGGAAGAGGUAAGCAACAAGGUUUGUCAGAAGCUCUAUCGAGGUAUGAUAGGCUCUCUUCUCUAUCUGACUGCUACUCGUCCUGAUAUUCUCUUUAGCGUCUGUCUUUGUGCCAGAUUCCAAUCAGAUCCUAGAGAAUCUCAUUUAACAGCUGUUAAGAGAAUUCUUAAGUAUCUGAAAGGAACUCCUAACCUGGGCCUGAUGUAUGAGAAAACAUCAGAGUAUAGGCUUUCUGGUUAUUGUGAUGCAGAUUAUGCAGGAGAUAGAAUAGAACGAAAAAGCACAUCUGGAAAUUGCCAGCUUCUGGGAAACAAUCUAAUCUCCUGGGCUAGCAAAAGACAGUCAACUAUCGCUCUAUCAACUGCAGAAGCAGAAUAUAUCUCAGCAUCACUGUGCACAACUCAGAUGCUCUGGAUGAAACAUCAGCUAGAAGAUCUUCAAAUCUUUGAGAGUAACAUUCCUAUCCUUUGUGAUAAUACUGCUGCUAUUUGUUUGAGUAAGAAUCCUAUUUUACAUUCCAGAGCCAAACACAUAGAAAUUAAACAUCAUUUUAUUAGAGACUAUGUUCAGAAAGGAAUAGUAACGCUGAAGUUCAUUGAUACAGAACAUCAAUGGGCAGAUAUCUUUACUAAGCCUCUAGCUGAAGAUAGAUUUCUUUUCAUCUUAGAAAAUCUGAACAUUAAAAAUUGUCCUGAGUAAAAUUUGGCUCUGAACAUGUAAAAUGAGACUCUGAUAAAAACAAAUACACUUCUGCCUCUGACUCUGAUACUUCUACCAAGUUAAGAAGAUAUCUGAGUUAGAAAUCUUCAGAAAUCCUUUGGUAUUCCUGAAGAUCAGAUACAUCAACACGUGGGGAACAUGCGUCUAACCCUAGAACUUCUAGACAGCUGUCAAAAGAAAUCAAAGGUCAGAACGCUUGAAAUCUCCUCGAGCAGUGUGCUUACUGUUGGGAUUAGACAUUCAUUAAUUAGCUAUAAUCAUUUUUCCCCCAAACGUGCUAUUUUGGUUUUUGUGCUAACGCUGGUAUGUGUGUCGUUUUGCAUGUGUUUUUACCCUUAGUAUAUAAACACUUUCUCUCACUUUUCACACUUAUCACUCUCACUCACUCUAAAACCCUAAACCCUUCUCUGAAAGUUCUCUGCAAGUUCUUCAUCUUCUUCAAUCUCCAUCAUCUUCAUCAACAUGGACGCUCAACAACAAGAACUCUUCAACCAUUCUCAACAAGUGGAAUCUAGUUCCAAUCCCCAAACCUCAAACACUCAAACACCCACGGUUAUAAGCGUCACCACAACCCCAGUUUACAAAGAACCUCACAUUCUUGACCGUGAACAACACAUUCAUCUUUCAACUCCCUUUGAAGGUUUGGAUGUACUGUGUGAAUCGCUGGUGGAUUUUGAGAAUUUGAGAAGAAAUGGCGUUGAUUUAACUGAAGAUCUUCGCAAGCAAGGUUGGGAAACCUACUUCAACAGAUUGUAUGGUCCAAUCUAUCCUCUUCUGGUGAAAGAAUUCUGGAGAUGUGCAGAUGCUGAUGAUGAGUUCAUUGUUUCUUUUGUUCUGGGAGUGAAGAUCAUCAUCACAGAAGCAUCUAUUGCCUCUUUGCUGAACAUGGAGAGAACUGGAGGUAAAAGGAUUUACAACAUUCCUCCAAGGUCCAAGCGCAUCACAGAAGUCAUUAACCCUACAAUCUUCAAAGCAAAUGUUGAAGGAAACCCAUCUAAGAACAAGGAGCUUCAUCAGAACCUCCGAGUUUGGCUGAAGAUUAUUCUGGGAACAAUCCAUCAUCGUCCAGCCUCCAACUCUUCAGAUUAUAUAAAUGCUGAUCAGAAAUGCAUCCUCUACUGUAUUCAGAAGGGUAUUCCAAUCAACCUCCCUGUUCUCCUCUUCAGAUAUCUGAGGGAUUCAGUCAGAGAAACAAGGAAUAAUAUGAAGCCCAGAUCCUACAUUCCUCUGGGAAGAUUGCUCUCUGACAUCUUCAUUGAGCAUGGGCUGGUAGAUGCUCUGGAGAAGACCAGAUGUAUGGAUGAUCUGGCAAUUGACGUUGGAAAGCCUCUGAAUGCCAAAAAUCUGAGGAGUAUGGGAAUCAUCAAAGACAUCAGAGUCAAGCCCACUAUGAAUGUAACCUGGGAAGCUCUGAAGGAUCAGAGGAAGAUGCCUCAUGGCCUUGAAAGGUUCUUCAAGAAUGAACCCAGAGAUGCCAUUGCUAUCUACCUUCAGGAUCGUCUGGAUGAAGGCAUUGAUAUCUCUGAUUUCCGCCUUGAAGACUGUCUGGACUCUGUAGAAGAUCUGGUCAGAUACAAAAGAGGUCUUUCUGAGAAGAAGAUAGCUGAGGAAGCAAGGAAGGCAAAGAAAGCCAGACUUGGAGAAACCUCUGGCACCAAAGCUUCAGCACCUCUGAAUGUCUCCUCUGGUAAGUCCAUUCCUCCUGUCUCUUCUGAAUCUGUAAUGGCUUCCUCUAACCCUCUCUCCUCUCAACCAAUAUAUACCACCGCUGAAAUACCACCUUCAACCAUCAGAACCUCUCAACCUCCACCUGUUCUAAAAAUUGCUCGUAAUUUCACAACAACCUCUGACCCUAAUCAACUAUAUCACCACAGCUCUUCCUCAUCCUCUGAAUAUGAAUCACCCCCUUACCUUUCCCCUUCUUCUGACCAAGAGUUCUCUGAACAAGAGUCCUCUGACCAAGAACACUCUGACCCAAACUCCCCAACAAUAGCUGAAAUUUAUGCUAAAAAUUUCGCUCCACAACCCUCAAGACAAUCUGAAGUAACCUCUCCCCUCCAAACUUCACUUCCACCACAACAAACAACAACCUUACCCUCUGAAACUCAACCAUCUGAUCCCUUCACCUCUAAUAUCACUCCACCAUUUAUUCCCGCUGUACCUGGACCAGACUCUGACCCUUUAGACCUAAAUCCACUAUAUGCUUCAUCCCCUAGUCUUCAACCAGACGCAGAUUCUGAACUUCAAGCAGAAUCUGAACCUCAACAAACUGAACCUCAACCUCUAAAUCUCAGCCCUCAAAACUCUCCACCUCAUUCACCUGAACCUGAACCUGAACUUACCAUACCUACCCUUGAGGAGGCCAUUAUACAGGUUGCAGAAGCUUCAGUCCAGAAGAUCAAGUCUCUGGCUAAAAACUCUGAAGUUAGUGAUGAUCCUAAAUCUGUUAGGACACACUGGAACAGAGUCAUUAGUUGGAUGACCUCUGAGUCUUAUAGGCUGAAGAGUAUCUCUGAACAAGUCAGAAAUGGCUACAUCAGAGACUCUGAGGAAAGACUCCAAGAGAGACUGGCUAGAGAAGCUGAGGCCAGAAGGUUAGAGGAAGAGAGACUGGCUAGAGAAGCUGAGGCCAAGAGAUUAGAGGAAGAAAGAUUGGCUAGGGAAGCUGAAGAAGAAGCUAAGAGGUUGGAAGAAGAACGCCUGGCAAAGGAAGCAGAACUUCUAAGGAUUCAGGAAGCUGAAGCCAAGGCUAAGGCAGAUGCAGAAGCCCAAGCUGCUGCUGAAGCUGAAGCUCAGCAGGCUCUGAUUCAGGGGGAGUCUUCCUCUGCGAUCCCUCUGAUUCUUAACACUCUGAAGGAGAUCAAGCAAGAUCAGAAAGAGAUCAAGCAAGAUCAGAGUGAGCUCCGGGCAAGGAUGGACAAGCAAGACGCUCUGAAUGAAAACCUCCAGAAUAUGUUUGCUAUGCUACUACAGAGACUUCCUCCUCCUCCAAACCCUUAGGCACUUAGGAUUUCUUUUGUUUGCCUAGUGUUUUUGCUUCUGUCUUUUCUUUUUUUUCUCUGAUAUUUCUGUUGAAUCUGAUGUUUUGACUGCUGCUUGCCUUUGUGCUUUUGUUUAAUGAAGUGUUUUUCUCUCUAUUAUUUUUUUUAUGUUUUAUGCCUUUUUGAUUAUGCCAAAAAGGGGGAGAAAUUAUUAAAUAGCUCUGAUGAAAAUUAUGUCUAAAACCUUAAGCAUUCUGCAACAAUUAUAGAAAUAGUUCUGAUAUAAAUAGCUCUGAUUAAAUAAUAGCUCUGAUUAAAUAACUCUAACAUUAAAAUUAAGAAAUUGCAGAAAGUUUUCAGAAAUCUCAUUGCUUGGAAAGCUCUGGUAAGAACUUCUGAACUCCCUAGUACUAACUCAGGGGGAGCUUUUGUCUAUCUGAUCUAAUAUUUUUCAUGUUUCAUCUGAUAAUUUUAUUUGUUUUGUCAUCAUCAAAAAGGGGGAGAUUGUAAGAACAAAAAUUGUUCUACAACAGAUUCCAUGAUUUUGAUGAUAACAAAGGAUGAAACCAAAAAUGGCACCCUAACGAAAAGUUUCUAAGUGUGCAGGGUUCUAAAGAAAGAAGAAAUAAAUCUGAUGAUGUCAUCAGAUGCAAAACAAGAUCAGAUGCAAAAUCUCAAGUAUCAGAAGCAUCUAAAGAGGAAUCUCGUUUCAAGAAGCUCUGACUCUGGACAAAACUACAAAGUAUCAGAAGCAUCUGAACAUGAAGUAAAGUCUAGAAGCUCUGACUCUGAACAAAUGCCUUCUGUAAAUUCUGAAGUUAUCAGCGCCAUCUGAACUUUCAAGAGAUAACAUCAGAAGCCAGUUUCUCCAGAUACACAAAGACUCUAAUCAGAAUUGUUAAUCAUGAUGAAGUAACGUUUAAGCCAAGUUAAAGUUCUGCAAAUGGAUUUCCUCAAUUAGAAAGAGACGUUAAUCUCCACUUCCAAGAGAGAAGAUACUAAUUGUGGUAAGUAGUCACUUCUAAGAGAAAAAGUCUACUGCAGAAGCUAUUAAUGGAAUGGCGUAACUACAUCUCAAUAUCCAACAGAUUCAACGCUACUUCAACUCUACUUCAACUCCUAUAAAUAGAGAAGAAAUCUCAUUCAGUAAACACGAAGAAAUCACUAGCCAAAACUAUACUGAAAUCAUAUCACGCUCAAGAAAAACAUCUUUGUUCUUCAAAGAUUUUCACUAAGCUUUUGCUUAUCAAGUGAAAAAUUUGUUCUUAAGUUUGUAAUAUUUGCUUUCUUAGAAGCACUCUAGAUUACACAUCUUGUAUCUAAUUUUUAUUUGAUUUCCUCAAGUGACUCUUUGUAGUCUGUAGACUUGAGAGGACUAAGAGAUUUUCUUCUCUCUUAGGGGUUGUUUGUAAUCUUUCAAGAUUAGUGGAUUAAGUCCUUGUUGAAGGCGAAAUCACCUUGGCCGGGUGGACUGGAGUAGCUUUGUGUUAUAAGCGAACCAGUAUAAAAUCUUUGUGUGAUUUCAUUUUGCAAAAGCGCUUAUUUUUCAAACAAUUCAAACCCCCCUUUCUUGUUUUUCUCACCUUCAAGUUUCACAAUUCUUUGAUGAACUAAAAUGCAAUUGAGGACUCCGCGUCUUUGAGUCAUAAAUCAUGGAGACUCAUAAUGCGUCCAAAAAUGCAUAUCCAAAAUUUAAGUGGCAUUUUCAAAUUUUUAUAGGAUGGUUUUCCAACACUUAUGUAGAGAUAAACAAUUUCGUAAUUAAAGGUCUCUAAGAGGAGUUGAAAUAAAUAUAUUUAAAAAAUUAGUAACAUAAUUAUUUAAGGAAUAAAGUUUUCUAACCAAAAGAAUUUUUCCCUAAUUUUUUUGUGCCUAAUUUAUUUUGCUAACAAAGUAAAGCCCUGAUUAUUGUUACUAAAUUUUAGUAAUUUUCAUUCAUCUCUCAAUUAAUAUCUCUUAUAAUCCUCAUUAACUCUCAAUUAAUGUAAUUCAUAUCUAUCAAAAAAAAUUGAAAAUUUUGUAUCUAGGCUUGGGACCAACUAGUUUAGUGAAUUGCUAAUUUCAUCUUAAGUGUUGGAAAUAUGCCCUAUAAAAUUUUGAAAAUACCCUUUUGAAUCCGAAAAUGCAUCUUCGAACGCACCUUACGCCUCACUAAAACACACCUCAACUUGUUGAUGUUUUUUAUGUAAUUCAAGUGAUGUAACCAGUUAUCUCGGGUAGGUAACCGGUUACAUAAAUGUCUAAAGUUCAAUCAAGUAGCAAAAAUGUGGAGUUUUUGAAGGUGUAACCGGUUAACCAUUUUGGUGUAAACGGUUACCACAAAAGCUGAUUUAAUUCAAUGUCAGGUGUAACCGAUUAUCCAUUUUUGUGUAACAUUACAAGCGUAAUAUUUUGAUUUUUCCUGCUAUUUUACUUGGUCAAUUCAGUUCCCAAUUGUGUUGUAUCUCUUGUAUAAGUGUUUAGAAUGCACACUCAUCUAAGGUUAAUGCAAUAAUAAUCUCUCCCCCUUAAUUCUCCUCUUUCACACUCCACAUCCAAAGUAUCUCCAUCAUUGUUCACCAAACUUGUGGUCUCUUGUUCCAAAAUUUGACAUCAAGAGUCUGGUUCAGAUCCACAAACACCUAGUGUGCAACAUGAAUUAUGUUUCCAAUGAAAGAAUUCCUGCAAACCUACCUAUCUUUGAUGCGAAGAAUUAGGAUAAACGGUGCAAGGAAAUGAAGAUGUUGUUUGGAUACCAAGAUGUUCUUAAAGUAAUCAAUAAGGAUGUUACUCCUCUUAUUCAAAAUGAAACAGAGGCGCAACAAGCAACACAUAAGGAAGAGAAGAAGAAAUAGUUCAAUGUGUUGAUGGCGAUGAUUUUAAGAAAGUUGAUGAUUGUGAAUCGUCAAAGUAAGCGUGAGAGAUCUUAGAGAAGGCAUGUGCAUGGGUUGACAAGGAAAAGGUGGUGAGGUUACAAACUCAUAAACGUCAGUUUGAAUUGAUUCAAAUGGAGGAAAAGGAGAUAAUCAAUGAUUUUGCAAUGAGAAUCACUCGGUUGGUGAAUCAAGUGAAGGCAUGCAAAGAAACUGUUACGGAGUUGUAUGUUGCUGCUAAAAUCUUGUGUUCUUUAACACCAAGAUUUAACAGUAUAGUUGUGGCAAUUGAUGAGUCAAAGGAUCCCGCGACGAUGAGCAAAGAGGAGUUGCAAAGUUCUCUUGAGGCUCAUGAGAAAAAGAUGGAAAAGAGGAAUAACGAUAAGGCAAAGGCGGAGAUUGCUUUGCAAGCUCGUUUCAAUGAGAAGGACAAGAGAUCGAAAGGAAAAUGGCCCAAGAAAAGAAAAGGGAAUUUUCAUAAUUUGGGUGGAAGAGAGUCCUAAAAUUCAAAUGAUUUGACUUGUCAAAGGGGUGAGAGCAGCUACAAUAAACAUGGUGGUCAAGGAAACUUUAGAGGUAGAAGGAAGAAGUUUGAUAAGAGCAAGGAGAUGUGCUAUAAGUGUCAAUGGUUCGUUCAUUUUGCAAAAAAAUACAAUGUGAACAAGAAAGAAUCUCAAGGGAUUAAACCAAGGUUGCAAGAUAAGAGUUUGAUGAAGAGAAUAUAAUUUUGGUCAUGAUCAAAGAAGGGAAUUAUAGCAGCAAACAACUGUGGGACAACAGCGGCAAUAAAUCAAAGAAUGCUAAAAAGGUCGGUUGAAUGAUACGAUUAACCGAUCGCAUGAAGAGGAAGAUACCAUGAUGAGUUUGAAAGGAGUUCAAUGUAGUGAUGAGUGGUAUUUGGACUUGGGUUGUUCAGCUCAUAUGACAGGAAUAAAGGAUUGGUGUGUCAAAAUCAAUCGUGCCAUGAAGAAUAAACUAAAGUUUGCAGAUGAAACCACCCUAAUGAUCGAUGGGAUCGAUGAUGUUUUGAUCAUGAGAAGGGAUAAUGGACAUUACUUAAUCACAAAUUCUUGUACAUUUUUGGAAUCAAAUUUAACCUUCUAAGUAUUGGCCAAUUGCUUGAGAAGGAUUCCAAGAUUCACAUGGAAGACAAUGGGUUGUGCGUUAUGGAUAUAAGAGGAGGCUUGGUCCUUAAAGCGCAUAUGGCUGCCAAUAGAACCUUUAAGGUUGAGUUGAAGGUUAUAGAGUAUAAAUGUCUUGCUACUACAUCAAGUAGACAACAGUGGAUAUGGCACUAUCGUCUUAGACAUCUCAAUUUUAGAGAUCUCAAAGACUUUCAAAAGAACAUAAUGGUAACAGGGCUGCCAUUGAUCAACAUACUAGCUGAAAUUUGUGAAGAAUGUGUGCAAGUGAAGCAACAUAAGGGAAAAUUGAGCAAGUAGACUCUAUUGGUGGAAAUAUGUAUUUUGUCACAUUUAUCGAUGAUCAUAGUACAAAACUAUGGACAUACCUAAUCAAGAUAGAUGACAAUGUAUUUCAUGAUCGUCCGUCAUUGCAUAUAUUUAGUCGAAGAAUCAGACAAAACAAGUGAAAGUUAAGAUAAAAUGAAGAAGAAUAAGGAAAAAAUAUCUAAGCAUGGAAACUGGGGACUUAUUGAAAUUUUGAGUAAAAAAGGGAGCAAAAGUGUGCAACCACUGGAAUAAUCAUGCGCACCAUCACGUAGCAUCGUGCACACAAUGGGGUCUUUAAAGUUGCAUCGCGCAUGCGAUACAAGGAAUCACGCGCGUGAUAAAUACUUUUUAUGGGCUUUUCAGACGCGUUCUGGUCCAUUCUAACGCCUUUAAAAGGGGAUUUUCUGAACUUUCACAAGAGUUACAAAAUUGGGAGAUCUAGGCACUACUUUGAGAGCACAAGUGGUGAUUUUUAUAACAUUAGAAGUUAUUGGAGACCAUUACUUCAACGUAUUUCACAUGUUAUUUUCAUCUAUCAAUUAUGAUAUUUUUAAUUGCAUUAUGAGUAGCUAAGCUCCUCUAGAUUAGGUUGUAUACUGAUGAACCUAUUUCUAUAUUGUUGGAAUCUAUGUUGAUUUAACAAUUGUGUGAACCUUUUGAACUAUAAUUCCAUUCAAUUGCUUCUUGUUCAUAAUGCUUUUUAUGUGAGAUGAUAUUUUAAUAUGAUUUUGGGAACAUAAGGAAUACUGACCAUUAGUCUAUGUGUUGGACCUAGGGAAAUUGUUGUACUUACGCUGGUUGAAUAGGAAUAGGAGACCCUGAGUAGUGGCGUAGAGAAUUAACGCUUUAUACAUCGCCUAACCCUGCUUACGCUGGAGGACUAAGGAUAAAAAGCUCUGAGUGGUGGUUAGUGAGUUAUUUCAUGAGGGAUCAACUAUAACAGUUUUGUUAAUUCGUCGUGGUGUUAUAGUGAUAAGACCAUUCGUACAAGACAUCAAACAUCAACAAUAGAGGAAUAUGAGAUUUUAAAACACAACUUGGCCGCUUUCGUGAUAUUGUUUAAUUGUUUAUUUACUUUUUGCACAGAAACUCAACCCCCCCCCCCCCNNNNNNNNNNNNNNNNNCCCCCCCCCCCCUUUACUAGUUUUUUAUAAAUUGCACACAUUUUGUCUUGCUUGAACGAAGUUCACGUGGAUUCGAUCUUUUUAUUACUUCGACGAUGUCAAUACACUUGUCGAGAAGUCAUCAAGUUUUUGGCGCUUUUGCCAGGGACUAUUAAUUUUUCAUCAAGGCGAUGUUUGUGCAAUUUUUUUUAGUCUUUAAAUUUUAUGUUUUAUUUUCUUGUUUCUCAAAAUGCUAUUGAGGUAUUUUCUAUUUGUGUAUGUACCGUUCAGGAUCAACAUUAAUACCAUUGGAUCCAAAAAUUGAAAGAAACGCACAUGCUCUCAGAAAAGCUGUUAGAGGAGCAACUCUGGAAAGAGGAAUACUAGAAGAAGAGUAAUUAUCAAGUUAGUCAUACUCUGAAGAUGAAGCUGUAAUGGCAGAUGCACAACCCCUAACUAUGGGGGAUUAUUAUAAAUGAACCGAUGAAGGACACUUCUCCAGAGGGUUUGUACCGGUAGACCCUUCUAACUUUGAUAUUAAAAAUUAUGUGCUUUAAGGUUUGAGAGAAAAUUUGUUCGGCAGGAACACGAUUAGAGACCUAUGGGUGCAUCUUACACACUUCUAUGAAACAACUUCAAUGUGAAAAUCAAUUGAUGCCACUGAAGACCAGGUUAAAUUGAGGUUGUUUGGGUUCUCACUAAUUGGAAGGGCGAAGAUUGGUUACUUUUCCUCCCGAAUGGAACGAUACGAACAUGAAAGGAAUUAGAGGAUAAAUCCCUGGAAAGAUUUUUCACUACUACUCAGUUUACCGAGCGCUAAGCAGAAAUUGUGAGGUUUGAGCAGUAGGAAAUUGAGUCACUUUAUGACUCUUGGGAAAGAUUCAAACUUUUGUUACGCAGAUGCUCGAAUCACAACAUGAAUAAUAUAGAGCAGAUGCAAAACUUCAUUAAAGGUCUCAAAGUCAAACUCACGUAUUUUUGGAUGCUUCUACGAGAGGUACUAUCUGAAAAAUGAAUGAACCAUGGGUAAAAGAUAUCAUUGAGAAAAUGUGUAUAAUUGAGUACCGAUCCAAGAACGAAAGGUCGAUCAAGAUGGGAACUGUGGGCACGCCUAAAGGUAUGUUACCUAUUGAUACCCACAUUGCUCUUUUAGCUCAGAUUGAAUUAUUAAAUAAAAAGCAAGCUGGAAGAAGCUUAGUUAAAGCUAACGUAAGUCAGGUACAAGCACUUAAAAGCGAUUUAUAUGGAGGAUAACAUGCGAAUGGAAGUUGUUCAUUGGAAGGGACAAGUGAGGAGGUAAAAUUUUAUAAUUUUUAAAAAAAAUAACUUGUAUUCAAACACAUAUAAUCCGGGUUAAAAAGACCACCCAAAAUUCCUUUGGAAUAAUAAUCAAAAUUCAAAUGCUAACUAAGGGAUGCAACAAAGCCAACAAGCUCUGUUUCAAAGAAAUCCAUCACAAAUGGUAGAGACCUUGAAAAUUUUCAUUAAGGUCACUCAAAGUAGCUUUGCUAGGGUAAAUAAGACCCUUGAAGAAAUGAGUAGAAACUAGGAUGCGUCUAUCAAAAUUUUGGAGAUGAAGAUUGGUCAAUUAUCCAGACAAGUAGCUACUUUUCCAAGCUCAAGUGGAGGAUUCACCAGUAACAUUGUUGAUAACCCUAAGAAUGAUAACCCUAAAUAUAGGUUUAGGGGAAAUUACUGAAAAGGAUAAGGAGGAGAUAGUUAAAGAACGUGUGGUUAAGAUAGAUGAGGGUACAAAUCAAGGUGACCAAGAGGAAAGAGGAGACAUCAUUGAUCAACUUAUUGACAAAAAUUCUCCUCGGGGGAGAACAAAGAAGCAGAUCAUGACUGAACCAAAUCCUCCUUUACCAGAUCACGUAAAACCACCGUACCCAAUAAUUAAAAAGAAAGUGGUUUAAGAUGAUGAAGCGAGAAUGUUUGCAAAGUUCAAGGAAAUUCUAGCUACUCUCCGGGAAAGUAUUUCGUUCCAUGAAAUUUUAGAACUAAUGCCUAAGUUUGCUAAAUUUAUGAAGGCGUUACUAAAUGGGACGGAAGAGAAAAGGAUCAAGGAACAUGUAAACAUGACCGAAAAGAAUGAUAUGGUAAAACCUCAAUCCUUACAACCUAAACUAAAAGACUCAAGUAAAUUUAUGAAGGAGUUAUUAAAUGGGACGAAAGAGAAAAGGAUCAAGGAACAUGUAAACAUGACCGAAAAUGAUGAUAUAGUAAAACCUCAAUCCCUACAACCUAAACUAAAAGAAUUAGGUAAGUUUACUAUUUCCUAUAAUAUUAGUGGAUUCAAUAUUCUGCAUGCUCUAUGUGAUAUGGGAUCUAACAUAAAUGUCAUGCCACCGAAAACUGUCAAAGAAUUAAAAGUGGGUGAGAUCACACCGAGUAACAUGACUCUCAGUCUAGUUGAAUUGUCUAUUACUCAUUCAAUUGGUACUUUACGCGACAUAUUAGUACCUAUCGACGACUUAUUGUUUCCUAUAGAUUUUAUAGUGCAUGAUACAAAAGAAGAUUCGGGAGGAUCUAUUAUUCUUGGACAUCCAUUCUUGGCAAUCGGGAAAGCAAAAGAUUGAUGUGUAAACUGGUCAACUUAUCUUGAAGUCAAAUAAAAGGAAUGUGGUUUUCAAGGUAUAUGACUGGACACCUUAUGUGGAUAAUUUGGAUACUUUCUACUAUCUGGAUGAAAAAGGUAGGAAAGUAGAUAAAGGAACAAUGAGAAAGAAAGUGACAGGCGUGAGGGUGUCCCUUGCGCCUGACGUACCUUAGACAUGGAUUAUCAAGCUAGUGAUGUUAAAAAAGUGUUUGAUGGGAGGCAACUCAUCAAUAAGAAUUUAUUUUUUUAUCAUAGUGAAUAUUAAUUUUUCUAACCUUGUUAAUUUUUGUGCUAUGUUAUUGGAAGAGAAAAUAGGUGAAAGAAGAAAAGAAAGAAAAAGCAAAAGGGAAGAAAAUAGAAAAAGAAAAGAGAGAGGAAAGUUUCAUCCCCCAGAAUCAUCACGUAUGAUAAUAUAAACUAGUUCUUUACAAUAAUAAAAUUUGAUAUUUAUUUAUACAAACACAAUUAUAUAAAGAGAAUAACACACAAAUCACACAUGAUAAUUUUAGAAUAAUUAUACUCUAAUAUUUUUUGAGUCGUGAUAUAUCCUCUUCUUAAAUAUUUGAAAGUUGAAUCUCUCUCACUAAUCUCUAUUCCCCUAUUUAUUUUAAGAAUAAACAUAUUGAAUUAAUAAAACAUAAUUGCACCUUUCUUAAAGGUUAUACAAACAACUACUAAAGUUGAAAAAACUAAAGAGAGGUCAACUCAAUCUUUAUCAAAUUAAAUUAAAGUUUAUUAUAAAACACAAACAACUAGUUCAUUCAAAUGAUAACUUGUUUAGUACACAAGUAAGAUCUUACUUAAUACAUAGAAAUAAGAUCUUACAGAAUAUAGAGAUUAAAAACAUAGGAAUAACAUGAAAAGCUUUUAAAAUGACAUAGACAUUGAUUAACAAAGAUAUGAACUAGUUUCGGGUAUUUCUUAACCAUCCGUCAAGGUAAACUUGUUUGGAGUCAGGGGUGGAUUUUGCUUUCUCGACUCGGAUAUCUUUCAACCAUCCAUCAAGGUAAACCUGGUUGUUGUCAGAGGUGGAUUUUACUGUCUCGGCUCGGAUAUCUUUCAACCAUCCAUCAAGGUAAACUUGUUUUGGAUCAGAGGUGGAUUUUGUUUUCUCUGCUCGGGUAUCUUUCAACCACCCAUCAAGGUAUACUUGGUUGGAGUCAGGGGUAGAUUUUAUUCUCUCGUUUCGAUAAUCUUUCAACCAUCCAUCAAGGUAAACUUGGUUGGAGUCAGACAUGGUUUCUGUUUGCUUUGCUCGAGUAUUUUUCAACCAUCCAUCAAGGUAAACUUGGUUGGAGUCAGAGGUAGAUUUUUCUUUCUCAGCUCGGGUAUCUUUUAACCAUCCAUCAAGGUAAACUUGUUUGGAGUCAAGAUUUUUCUUUCUCAGCUCGGGUAUCUUUUAACCAUCCAUCAAGGUAAACUUGUUUGGAGUCAGAGGUGGAUUUUGUUUUCUCUGCUCGGGUAUCUUUCAACCAUCCAUCAAGGUAAACUUGAUUGGUGUUAGGCAUGGACUUUUCUUUCUCAACUCUGAUAUUUUUCAACCAUCCAUCAAGAUAAACUUGGUUGGAGUCACUUGUAGAUUUUGUUUUCUCAACUCGGGUAUCUUUCAACCAUUCAUCAAGGUAAACUUGGUUGGAUUCAGAGGUGGAUUUUGCAUUCUCUGCUCUGGUAUCUUUCAACCAUCCAUCAAGGUAAACUUGGUUGGAGUUAGGUGUUGACUUUUCUUUCUCAACUCUGCUAUCUUUCAACCAUCCAUCAAGAUAAACUUGGUUGGUGUCACCUGUAGAUUUUGCUUUCUCAGCUCGAUUAUCUUUCAACCAUCCAUCAAGGUAAACUUGGUUGGAUUCAGAGGUGUCUUUUGCUUUCUUUGCUCUGGAAUCUUUCAACCAUCCAUCAAGAUAAACUUGAUCGGAGUUCUGGGAGGAUUUGGUUUUCUCUGAUCGUGUAUCUUUCAACCAUCCAUCAAGAUAAACUUGGUUAGAGUUAGCAAUGUGUUUUCGACUCUUCAAUGGAUUUUUGAGCCAACCAUCAAGGUAAGGUUGAUCAGCUUGUAUUUCUUGUACAUUCUCUUGCUGAAGUUUGAUAUAUCGGGCAAAGCUUCCUUGUCCAUUCUAUAAUACAAUUGAAUAAAUGGAUAUUAGUGAGUUAUUUUUGGAUGGUAUAUAUGAUUACAAAAACAAAAUUAUGUGUUUUAUGAGACACAUUAUGUUACAUAAAUAAGACACAUUCAUUGUAUAUUUCAGAUGGAUAUAGAAUGCGAAAUAAAAAUCAAAGAAAAACAAUUUUUUAAAUUUCAUUGCCGCAUAGAAAAUAUUAUUUUGUCAAAUUAAAUAGAACAACUUGAUUAAGUGAAUGAUGAAAUCAAAUCAAAUAAAGAUGCAAAAUGAUAGAUUGUGAUAAAUAAAUGAUGAAAAAUAUAUGUGUAAAAGAUACAAGAAUGGAUGCAUAACUUACAAUCAAUAAGAGCAUGAUAAAAGGGAGGAGAGACAAAACAUCUUUGUUUGUCAUUUCUUUAAUGUUAUGAUUUUGUGGGAAAAUUGUUUUAAUGUAAAAAGAUGUAUUGAAAUGGAAGUGAAUUGUGCUAUUUAUAAGUGAAUGAAAAGAAAAACUACAUUAAGGACAUUGAGACUUUGGUUGGCAAGAUUAUUUUUUUAAAUAUUUAGUUUAAAUUAUUUUUUAAAUGUUUAGUUUAAUUGAUAAGUUUAUAUGUCUAAGAAAGAUCAAUUUACUAAGAUUUAUUAUUUACAAGAUCUAUUAGGUGUGUUGUUUUGAGUUAUAAAAAAUAUUAAAAAAAUUGUUUGUUUGAUAUAUUUUUUUAAUUAGAAGCUCCUAACUAAAUCCUCUUAGUUUAAAAUAAAUAAAUUUUAGAACUGCUACUGCAAUUAUUUUUAUUUUAAAAUUAAAAAUGAUUUUCUAAAAAUCCUUAAUAAAAACAUAUUAAAAUGACAAAGGUGAUUUUGUUAAAUGUUAAACAAACAUUUAUUUUGAUAAGUUAUUUCAAAUAACUUAAAAUUUCAUAAAUUUAUUUUAAUUUAUAAUUAAAGUGGUAAUUAUGAUAAUCUCGCCUCUUGAGUUCUAAUAUUUGAGCUAAUAGUAUAAAUAUGUUUUAGUUGAAUUAGAAUUUGCAUUAGUGAUAGUUUCAAUUUUACAAUUAAUUAGACUAAAAUAUUGAUGUUCGUCAUAUAUAUAUAUAUAUAUAUNUAUAUAUAUAUAUAUAUAUUAAAUAGUAAUUAUAUAUUAUAAAUUUUAAUUUUGGGAAAAAAAUAUUAUUUCAAUAUUUUAAAAUUUUAAUAAUUAUUGUUUUAUAAAAUUAAUUAUAAUGAGUAUAAUAUUUUAAUUUUAUUAUCAUCAAAUAUACCCUACAUCAAAAUUCACAAACUUUAAAUAUAAAUAUCGGGAUCCACUUAAUUGAAUUGGAAUUUAAACAUCAAAAUUUAGACAAAUGUUAAAUUUUGAAGCACUUGGUUUUUGAAUCAUGACUCUUCUACAACCAACUCCUAGGGACUUACUACAUAGCCAACAAUGAAUCCAAAAUAGUUUCACAAGAAACACUAAAAUACUGUGUUGGCCUUUGCAUGUUUAAGAUGUUCACAUGUAGCUGGGGUUUGCGUGCUUAUGAGCUUACCUAAUAGUAAGUUAAAAAAACAAUAUAUUAUUAUACUGACCAGUCUAAAGAGAAAUAGAUAAGUUACUGUAUUUGUUAUUAUAAUCAAAUAUUAUCUAAAAAAGAAAUAAAUUAUAAGGAAUAUGUUUUCAUUAUUUUUAUCUUUAUUUAAAGAAUAUAAAUAUUUUUUAAUUAAUGAUAAAUAAUUGAUUUUAAAUGUGAUUACGGUUUAUAUCUUUAUCUAAGAAAAUAAAUGAUAAAAUGUGAAUACUCAUAUCUAAAAUUAAAUAUUUAUCCAAUUAUGUAGGCCAGCCUCAUAUUUAUUGUAAAAAUUUUAACAAAGUUUAAAAUAAUGAAAAUUAGAAUAAUGGUAUUCCUACAUUAAAUCUUACAUCAAAUACUUACAUUAAAUAUUUUUUACCGUAUUUAAACGAUGAAUAAUAUUUUUAUUUUUAAUAAAAAAAUAUUUAUAUAAAAAUGUUUUUAUUUUUAAAAUUAUUUUUAUAAUAAAAAUAUAAAAUUUAUCACAAAAUAAUUUUAUUAUCGUAUUAACUAUAAAAAUAUAGGUUAUAAAUCACAUAUUUCACUUAUAAUUCAUUAACCAGUAAAAUACAUAAUAUUAAUCAAAUUAUGAUAUUAAAAUAUGAAAUAUAUAAUUUGCUUAAUUAUUAUAUUUUAUAUUUUAAUGUCACAAUUUAUUUAUAUUAUUUAUUUUAUUAAUUGAAUAUAAUAAUAAGUAAAAUAUAUGGUUAAUCAUCUAUAUUUUUAUGAUUAAUACAAUAAUAAAAUUGAUUAGUGACAAAUUUUAUAUUUAUAUUACAAAAAUAAUUAUAAAAAUAUAUCAAAAACGAGUUUAAGACAACGUAGGAAAAAGUGAAGUGACACUCAAAUAUUAUUUGCUCAUUAAGCAAUCAGUUAAAAUUAAAGUGAAUUAACGAAUUAAGCAUAAAGUUUCACACAAUCAAAAUUAGGGAACAAUAAAUCAAUCGAACAAAACAAAACUACUAAGUUUUGAGUGUAAAAUUUGGUGUAAUAUUAAAAAUUAAAAAAAAAUUGAGGUUUAUAAGAUGUAAAAUUAUUUAUUAAACUCUUUUAAUAAAUUUAAUAUUAUGAUAAUUUAUUAUGAUAAAUAAUAUUUAAAAUAAGAAAAGAUUGAGCUUUUAAAGGAUGAAAUUCUAGUCAUUAGAUUAAAGAAAACAUCACCAAAACCUUAUUUCACAGAUGAAAUCGACUACAUAUAUGAUAUAUCAAUUUUCACGCUAAUAUUCUAUCAAUCACCAUAUUUUAUAGCCAUUAGACUAUUUAAUCAAAAUUAUUCAUAAUAAAUUUCAUUUGAUAUUUACUUUUUAAUAGAUAAUAAAGUAGAUAUAUUUAAUCUUUAUUAAAAAAUUAUUAAACAUUAUUGGUAUUAAAUAUGAUUUUAUUAAUUUUAAUUUUGAUAUAAUUAAUGGAUAUAAGUAUUGGCUCAAGAUAUAUCAAAGCCUUUGCCAAAUUUUUAACAAAGAUUUUAAUAAUAAAAAUUAUGAGUGUAAUAUUUAAAAUAAAAAAUUGAGCUUUUUAAAAUGUAAAAUUAUUGAUUGAAUUAUCAUAAAUCAGUUAAGUGUGUAUUUAUGCAAGAUGGGACAUCCCAUUUGCAGGGGCACAAAUUCAACCCACAACAUCUCACUUUUUAUCUUGGAAAAUUCCAAUCAAUAAAUUACUUGAUCCAAAAAAAUCAUAGUAAAUCUUGUUUGAUAUUUAUUUUCAAUCAAAUAUAUGUAAUCCUUAAUGAAACCUUAAACAUUAUUGAUUUUAAAUAAGAUUUUAUUAACUUUAAUUUUAUACCAUUAAUAGAAGGACUAUAUUCUGGAACGAAUUAAUAUAUUUUCGUUAUUCUUAUUUUUAUUUAAAUAUUUAAAUAUUAUUUAAAUUAAUAAUAAAUAAUUGGUUUUAAAUGUGAUGAAGUUUAUAUCUUUAUCCGAAAAAAUAAACGAUAGUGAAUAUUUAUAUUAAAAAAUAACACAAUACACUUAAAUAUUUAAUCUCCUUAACCUAUCUAAAUAUCUAGGCCGGCAUAAGACAUAUUGAAGUUUAGUGUAAAAAAUUUAACAAAGCUUUUAAUUAUAAAAAUUAUGACUGUAACAUUUAAAAUAAAAAAAAUUGAACUUUAUUAUUAGAUGUCAAAAUAUUUAUUAAACACUCUUAAUAAGUAUUAAAUAUAAAUUUAUUAAAUUUAUUUUUGAUACAAUUAAUGAAUAUAAGUACGGGCUCAAGAGAUAUACACGCCUUUGAUAAAAAAUUUAACAAAGAUUUUAAUUAUAAAAAUUAUGAAUAUAACAUUUAAAAUAAAAAAGUUGAUCUUAAAAGAUGUAAAAUUCUUUAUAAAAUUAUUAUAAUAGUUUUUGAUUAAUUAAUAUGCACAGUCAAUAUCAUUUUUUUAUUAUUAUUAUUAUUAUUAUUAUUAUUAUUAUUAUUAUUAUUAUUAUUAUUAUGCGUCGGUGUACAACUCAUAAAAAAAGACGUCAAUCAUAAAUAUAUAUUGGUACAGUGUCGUCAAUUGGAUUGACGCAUCCUCGUAGGUGUUAUAUGCAGGGAUGAAGCUAGAGAUUUUGAACUGUAGGAGCAAUAUAUUAAUAUAUAAAUUUAUUUCUAUUUAUUUUUAAAUCAUAAAUAUAUAUUUAAUUUAUUUUUAAAUCAUAAAUAUAUAUUAUAUCUAUUUUUUAAGAAAUCUAUCUCUAAAACAAUUUUUAUUAAUUUUUUAAAAUUUUAAAAUUUUAAAAUUUUGUAAAUUUUAAAAUUUUAUUAUCAAGAAAAAUAUUUUUUUAUGUAUUUUUUAUGAGAUCAUAAUAUUAACAUAAAAUUCUAUAAAUCAAUUUUUUUAAAGAUCGAGGAAAAAAUUAUUUUAAAAUUAUAACAAGAAAAACAAUUCAAUAUAUUUCAUCUGACAUGUUUUAAUUUAAUUAUUGAAAAUAAAAAAUUCACUAUAUUUUUGGACAAUAUCCUAAAUAAAUAUUCAUAUACUUUAUUAUUUUCAUCUAAUUUUUAGUAAUAUCUUCAUAAUAAUAAUAUUAUUUAUAUAAAUUUAAAAUAAUAUAAAUUUAUAUAUAUAUAUAUAUAUAUAUAUUUAUAUAUAUUAUAUAUAUAUUAAUAUAUAUUAUAUAUUAUAUAUAUAUAUAUAUAUAUAUAUAUAAUAUAUAUAUAUAUAUAUAUAUAUAUAUAUUAUAUAUAUUAUUUAUAGUAGGGACCAUUUGUCUUAUGCUAUUUUAAUUUGUUAUUUCUUAAUUUCCCCGUCUAUUUCAGUGUUUGGAUUAAAAAAAGGGGGGGGUCGGGGGUUCCCUCUUGGGGGUGGGUUUAGUAUUUUAAUGUUUUUUUACUUAAUAUUUCUUUUGUGUUUUUCACAUUCUUCUAUGUCUUAGAUUGACGUCUUCUUUAUUUUGAAAGUGGGUUACUCUCAGAAAUAAUUGAAAAAGUAAAUUAUUUUAGAUAUCUAUUUGAAAAGUUAGAAAAUCUUAAAUAUUAUUCAUUUUAAAUAAUAUUUUAUUAAUAUAAUUUUUAAUACCAUUAAUAGAAGGACUAUAUUCUGGUAUCAACCGAAAGGAUUAUAUUAUUGGACUAUUUUAAAUUUCCUAUUAUAUUGUUGUCGUCUAUUAUCAAUUUAUUUUAUCAAUAAAUCACUAUUUGAAAUUUUAUUAGUAUUUAAGUCUUUAAAUUCAUCUACACCUUUGACUUCUACUAUUAAUUUUCAUUUUCAUUUUUUUAAUGUUUAUAUAACUGGUACAUUGUUAACUUGUUUAUUUAAUAAACAUUAAGCAAUAUUUUUAAAUUAACUUUUUAAUUUAUUUUUAUAAAUUUAUCUAAAGUUCCCUUUUAUAAUUUAAUUAAAAUUUCAACUCUCUUUUUUUAAUUUCUAAUUUUUUUUAUUCAAAUUUUUUUAAUUGACAUUACUCUAAAUAACAUAAUAAAACAAUUUCCACAAUAAACACAAACAAAAAAAAAAUUCAAAAAUAAGAUAAUUGAUUAAAUAUAAAUGAUUUAAAUUAAAAGUAAAUAAAAUAAAAUUGCAUAAAUAAAAUAUAAUUUUAUCCUUUUACAAUGCUAGAGAGGACAUACACUUUAUCAUAGAAGUAACGAUUAAUUAAUGGAGAUGAUGAAUUAACAUAUUUUAUACUCUCAUAUACACAUUUUAGGUUGGAAAUGAUUUGAUAUAAUCCUUUAUCUAACCUGUUUAAAUUUUAAUGGGUUGAAUUUGUCGUUCAACCCACAAUUUCAUUGUCAAAAUUGACAGAAACCGACUUGUUUAUUUAAGGGUUGUGUUCGCGAUGUUUUAAAUAAAAAUUAUUUUUUUAUAUAUUUUUUAAGAUAUAAAAAAUUUAACCCAAUUCAAAUUAGAUGAAACACAUCAUAUAAUGUCUAAUAAAGUUCAUCAACACGACAUAACACUCGAUAAUAGUAUUAAAUUCUAAUAGUAUCAAUGUUAAAUUAUUUUAAAACAAUUAUUUUAAUUAACUCUUUAAUCAUAACAUUUAUUUAUUAUAUUUUUAUAAUACAUUAUAAUAAAUAUAUUAUAAAUAUUCUUAUUUUUAAUUAGAAAUAUAUAAUGAUAAGUUAAUUAAAUAAUUAUGGUUUGUGAAAAACAAAAACAAAAUCAACGUCAAAGUUAUAUGCUUCAACAAUUUAUAUAAUGACUCAUUUUUAAAUAAAAUAGCUUUAAAAAUUAAAAGUUUGAAAAAUAAUAGUUGAUAUAUUAUAUAUUUUAUUUAUUUUUAUGUUGACAAUAUAAAACAUAGACAUUAAUUUUAUUCUUUAACCAUAAUUUUUAUAAUAUAUUAAAAUAAAAAGUAGUUAAAAUUAACUAAUAAAAUUAAUUAUAAAUAGUUUAAAUAAUUUAAUUAUUAUCAAAUAAAAAUAUAUAAAAUAUUUAUUUAGUAAAGAAUAUUAAAACGAAUAACAAAUUAUAUGAGAUGAUAUGACUUUUUUAUAAUCUUUUGUUUUCUUAAGUUAAAUUAUUUAGUAGAUAAAAAAAAAAAUUAAAAUUGAUAUAUUUCUCUCUCUUCUUUAAAUGAUAUUUUUUUUUCUAUUUCUUACCUUUUAAUAGUUGGAUUAAUCAAAUGGUUUAAAAUUGCACAUGAGAGAGGGCAUAAGAGAAAAAAUUGGAGAGGAUCCAAUUCCGAUAAAAAGAUGUGGUAAAUUUAUGAGUAGUUUAAUAAUUUAUACAUAUUUUUAGCCUUAUUAAUUGUCACUUCGUUGAAAAAGAAAAAGGAAAUAAUAAUAAUGAUAGUGAUAAUAAUUAAAUAAUAUUGAAUUUUUUGACAAAUAAUGUUAUUAAAUAUUAUUGAAUAUAAUAGAUGAAAGAGAAAAAAAAAUGAAGAUCUUUGUCUGGCUUACCUCCUCGUUGAAUAGGGUAUGCUAACUAUUAAUAUGCCAAAGCCUCUUUAAAAAAUUAAACAAAUCAAUUAUAGGAUCCGAUAACUAUUAAGGAAUUUCUUAUGUCAUCAUAUGAAAUGGAAAAACUAUACAAAAUUUAAAAUAUUCAUUCAAGUUUAAAGAUGCAUCUUCGAAUACACAUUUGUAUCACCUUAUGACGCACUAAAUGAGCGACACCCUAAAGUAAAAUAAAAUCUUAUUCCAAAGAUACAUCUCUGAGUAUUUUGAACAAAUAUAUUGAUAUUUAAGCAAGCGUCCUCAGCAUGACCAGAUACCUGUAUCAUACACUCAGUUGCUGUCGUAUCUUGUCCAGUAAGGGGCAAUUGCGCCAAAAGAGAUUCCGCAUGCAACUCCUCCCUAAAAUCACAAGCAUAAUCCUAAUGUGCCUUGUUCAUUUCAUGUCGGAUACAUAGGGCAUUCUAUAGAGGAUUAUUUGGUCCUCAAGGCCAUAAUGCAAGAGUUAAUUGACCAUAAGGUUUUGUCAUUCUUUGACGCAUGACCCAAUGUCAUAAACAACCCGUUGCCAGACCACUGUGGACAAAUAGUGAAUGCAGUUAGUGGCGAAGAUUGCUCAGAUUCAGUUGCUUCUUCAGAGGAGUAUCGAUGCUAGCAAUAUCAUAUUGAUUCAAUCAUGUAUCAUUUGUAAUCCUUUCUUGUUUUUUAAAUGUUGUUCAUUUGUAACUUGUCUGGUUUUUCAGAUGAUAAUAAUAAUGAAAUAAACGUGCAUGUUUUGCUUAAAUCCAUUCGUGUCCACUCAUAUUUUAUUUUAUCAGUAUCAAACUGUUUGUCGAACAAAAUCAAAAGAGAAUGAUGCAAUUAAAAAUACGCAAGAUCGCUGCCUGUAUGGUUUUGAAUAAGAUCGUGCUGAUGAUGUAAGGCAUUGUUCAAUCCCUAAACACCGGAGAUAUAAGGAAGAUAAUCCCUAGUCAACCCCUUUGGGUAUUGUAAUAGGAGUUUCUUUCUUGAACACAUAAAACCCUCAUGCUUAACCAGGGGCAGAGUAUUCUUCAGUUAGUUUAGACUUGCAUUCAAAUUUAAGAAGGACAAUAUCUCAUCCAGUGAUCAAUCAUAUCAUAUCCCUCUCAAGAGGAUGGAAUCAUAAAUCCAGGAUGGUUAUCCCUUACCCAUCAAAAAGAGUGAGAUAAUCACGACUCGUGCAACAAAUCGAGAAAGCUGUGUCACAAGGUUUUCUCUAGUACAAAAAUAAAAGAUGAAACAAAAUUAAAAGCCCGCUAAGUCAAAAGCUUGAAAACAAGAUUGACUUAGGCAAAAGUCAGGGUAUCCCGGUGGGAUGCAGACCCAAAGGAUCAGCCUAGGAAAAAAUAAGGGUAAACAAAACAAAAGAAUUAGAGGAUCAAUACCAAAAUUCGUAGCGAGAGCAAAUCCCUGUGACUAUAAACAAAAGCAGAAGGCGAGUGGCUAUCGCUCUAAAUUCUCGUGGAUUCCUUAAACCAUCAUUGUUGAUAUUCAAAAUCCUUUCUGAAAGACGAACGCUUAUUUUAAGCUAAUUGAAUAUAGAACUAGAUAACAUCACACAGAAUGGGUGGGUUAGAAUAGGUUUUGAGCCUUAUAUCCUUUCUUUCUGAAACCGUGAACUAGGCCAAGUUACAACCCUCAAAAGACCUAAUUGAAGUAGGGUUUAUUUCAAAAGCAUACUAUGGUAAGAUCGCGUUAAGCUGACUCCUUAAGAUUUUCUUGUCAUAUGUUUGAUACUGAUAUGGCAUUCUAAACAGUGAUUUGUUCACUAGAUGUCAUAAUCUUAGUGAACACACUUGAGUUUUCAAAACUUGCAUGAGCAUGACAUUACAAUUAUCAUUUUAAAAAUGAGCGUUUUACAUGCGAACAUGCAUUUGACACCAAGGAAGCUUACAAUGGGAAAGUUGAUCAAAUUCCUAAUAUCCCAUAGCUCAAAUCUCUUCAAGAGCCCGUCAAUCUAAGGCACCAUGCCAAGAUUUUGCAAAUCUCUCUGAAUCAGCUGUAUAAGGGAAAAGUUUAAUUCGAAGUUCAUAUUGGGGAAGGCCACCUCAAGAGCAUGAGAAGUCAAUCACUCCUAAGAUAAUUAACUAGGAGGAUAUAGUUUCAAGAUGCUGGGGCAAGCCAGUUUGAGAUACUCAGAUGACGAGAUCACUCUAAUUUGUAAUUGGAGAAAUUGGUGCAGAUAUCCAAUACAUUGGGGCAGAGGCAGGCUACGCAGGUACAAGCUCUCUCCAUGUUCUAGACAUAAUCCAGAGGUGUGACAACAAUUUUUCAGCUUGAAGUAGGUUCGAAGAAUCACGUCUGGAGGAUACCAUAUCCUAGCCAAAAAUUUCCACCUCCCUCUAUAUGAGCACCUGGAUUAACCAUUGCAUAAAUCAUUAUCAUGAAUAAAUCACGUCGCUUCACUCAUGCAUACCAUUCAUCUAUCAUAGCAUGAAGCCGUGUGUGAGAAUCAAAGGAAUUAAAGCCCAGUAUUUUAUUGGCAUCUCCAAAUUCCAAACUUGCCUGGUACCUUUUUAAACCAUCUAGUUUGACAAUUCUUCCAAAAUCCAAUUUGCUUGGCGUCUUUUAAGCCCAGUUUGCUUGGUAUCUUUUUUCGACCUUUAGGGUCGAUGAUCCUCUUUUCCAACAUUCAUGGUUGAGGAACCUUUUUUCAAUCUUCAGGAUUGAUAACCUUUUUCCAAUCUUUAGGGUUGACGAUCUUUGUUUCUAACCUUCAUGGUUGUUGAAUCUUUUUCCCACCAUUAGGGUGAUGAUAGACUUUGUUUCCGGCCUUUAAGGUUGAUGAUCCUCUUGCUUUCAACCUUUGCGGUUGUUGAAUCUUCUUCCAACCAUCAUGGUUGUUGAAUCUUUUUCCUACCUUUGUGGUUGUUGAAAAUUUUUCCAAACCUUCUUGGUUGAUGAACUUUUUCAAUCUAUGUGAUUGACAAACUUUUUUCCAAACUGUAAGGUUGAUGACCUUUCUUUUUUUCAAACCUCUGUGUUUGACUUUGUUUCCAGUUUUUGAACUGAUGAUUCAUUUGUGAAACCCCUUGUUUGCAAGAAUAUUUUGGAACUUUCAUGCGCUCUUUGAUUAGCAUACAUGGCCACAUGUUUCAAAAAUGAUAAAAAAAAAUACAAUUUAGCAUGCAUAUCAUGAUCGUCAUUUGCCAUUAAUAUCCCCACAGUACAUCAAAAUCACCAGCAAAUAAACCCGUAAAAAAUCAAGUUGAUAUCCCUAUAUCUCAUACAAUUGUCCUUCAAGGAAAAAAAUUCGGAUACUUCGAUAUUUAAUCCACGCAUACCUUAAAAAGCUGAAAAGCUCUCGCAAUUCGACCAUUCAGGUCUAAGCUGAUUAAAUAGGGGCAGAUGUCGUAUCCUAAAUUUGUCCUCCCUAUUUCAUCUUUCCACUCAAUUUAUCAACUUGAGAUUCAUCUGUACCACAUUCAUAUUUCAUUCAUAUGCAUCAUUCAUUAAUCAUACAUUCAAAGCUUGUGGCCUGCAAAUCUAAGGUUUGUUGAUGGGACAUGGCUCUUCAUAGGCUCAUCAUGUGAGGGGAAACCCUAAUUUCAUACUCUUUUAGACUUUGAUUCAAAAAGGUUACAAUCACGACAUUCAUUUAGUCAUUCAAACCCUUAUUCCUGACUUUGUUGUCUUUCGGUCUCACAAGCUUUCACCUGUGUAUCAUGAAGCCCUAAUCAGGGAAGAUUUGGUCCGGUUGCACCUUAUGGCUUGACUUUUCAUCUUGUGUGUGCUGGAAACCCUAAUUCAUUAGGGAGAGGUGUUUGACUAUCCUAUUAUGCAUGCCUACUGGUUUGGAAUUGCACAUGAUUCAGGUCUUGUUUCAAGCAUCCCUAUGCCCAUCACAUUUAACUUUGCAUAGGCCAUUAACUCAAGUCUUUUGGUAUGGGCAAAUGCAUAGACCCAUAUGCCCGAUUCACUUCAUUCAUAUGAUGCAGAUGAUCAAGGAUGAUUGGUCCAUUUAAGAUUUGGUUCCAUUGGUUCAUUCUUUGUUUCUUAAGCAAAAUCAUUAUUUCAUUUGAAUUAUGUCAUGUGAAAACCCUAAUUCAAAUUUCACAGUUGACUUCGAUUAACUAGUUUACCAAAGUCAACCAUCCCUUUUUGAGUCCAUUAAACUUUUUCAUUAAUCAUUCACACUUAAUCACAUUUUUCGAGCUAUUUGAUGCAUCCAAUUCAUUCAAUUUUCAAAUGUAAUUUUGACCAUUCCAAACAUUUUAACCAUUCAAGGUUAACAAUUUAAGUUCUAUAAACCAUCUUCUUUUACAAUAUAUUUCCACUCAUAAACUUUCCAUAAGCAUUCAAAAUUUUCCAUCAUAAAUAUCAUUCAAUACAAUAAACUUGUCCAUGGUUCGCGCAUUUAAUCCUUUCUUUCCAUCAUUUAUUUGCAUUGCAAUUCUAUUCAUCCAAAGUAUCAAACUUUUCAUAAUCACCAAGUUCCAUUCCAAUACAUUCAAGUUUUACCUACAACUUUCCUUUACAAUUAUUACAAACCAUUGUUUUACAUUGUUACACUAUGUAUCAACCAUAUCCUACAUAACCAUAUUAACCAUUCCAAAUGAUCAAGCAAGAUAGAAUUUCAUUCACUAACCAUACAAGAUAUCUCAAGCAUACAUUUCCAUUUCAAGCUACAUUAUAAUGCAUCAUAAUCCAACAAUAUCAUGAAGCAGCCCAUGGCCUCUUAUGCAUUCACUAGAAAUAUUUCCAUAGCACAAAUUGGCCAUGUCCCAAAAGAUAAUGCACAAAAAAAGCAUGAAAUAUCAUGAUUCUGUUAGGCUCUGUUUUGAAAUUAUUUACCUGAUGAACAACAGACAUAAAUGCCGAUCGAGGUUAUAUGGAAGCUUCAAAUACUGAAAAAGAAAACACACCCAUUGCAUUGAUGGCUACAGCUCUUCCUUUGAAACGCCAUUGAAGCUUCAAUUCGUGGAGCUUAAACCACUGCACCUCUUCGACCUCACGCGGAAAACGCAACAACAGCAUAUGCUUAGAAGAACAGAGGGAGAGGAAUAAGAUUGCAGCAACAUAACAGAAAGAGUGAAGGAACAAAAUUGAGACGAAGAAAAAGGGAAGAGAUCGGUCAAUACCUGUUCGCAGUUGAAGCAUCAAAUUUGGUAAGUCCUUUUGAUUUUCUUUUCUUUCUGUUUAAGUCCGCGAGCACAAUGUUGGAUGGAAUCACAUGUCGAUGAGGUUGAACACAAUCCAUGAACUCUAUUAUCUGUUAGAAUUAGAAUAUUAGGUUAUUAAGUGACAAUUAGAAAUUGUGAUUUAAUUAGAAUUCUAGUAUUGAUAGAUUUUGGAUUUUCAUUAGAAUUAAUUAGAAAUUUUAGAAUUUAACUAGGGUUUUAGAAUCUAUUUUAGACUAAUUAGAUUUUCACAUAAUUAUAUAUAAUUAUAAUUAAUUAGUUUUUGAUUAAAUGUUGAUUAUUAGAAACUAUUUUCCUAAUUAAUCCAUUUAUGCAUAUUGACUAUUUUACCCUUUAGAGGUUAUGUUUGUCAUUUUAGCCAUAAGGACAUGUUCCUUUAGGUUUAGAUCUUGACAUCAAUUUUUAAUCAAGUCUUGACCAAUUAUAUCAUGAUCCCUUAGGAUAGUUUGUAACAAAUUCUAACCAUUAGAUUAGGAUUUAAUCUAGUUUUCAAACUAAUUCAAACCUUCUGAUUCAAAUUGAUCAAAAGCAAUUUUGAUCAAUUAAAUCAUUUGAUAUUGUAUAAUCCCACAGUCUAAUUUGAGUGACACAAAUACUCUUGGUCACCUAAUGAGACUUUUUCGGUAAGUUGUGGAGCUCGAGGCCUCAAGUCAUAUUUUCAAUCAAGGCAUCAUCGGUCAGACCAAGCAGUGGAUAAUACAAGGUACAUCAAAGGUGGCAUCUUUGAGAGCUUGUCAAAUCAAAGUUAUGAUUGUGUGGCAUGAGCCUUGAGUAAUGAAGAAAGAAUGAGACUGAAGAAUUCCUACCCCCAUCAACACAAAGGGCAUCAUGUCAGCAACUUGUUAAUUUUGAUUCAAGUUGCAUGCCAUGAGCCUUAAGAAACAAAGAAUGAUGAGAGUGGGGAAUUCCUAUCCUUGUCUAGAAUAUUCUUGGGUACGGGACGAAUGACCCAGUUGCUCAAAGUAUUCGCCUUUUUCCAUAGACUUUGGUGCAAUUUAAAUCAUGCAAUUGACAAGCCUUCUUCUUCAAGCAAGCAUCAAUCAUUCAACACUUCAAUAGUGAAACACCAUUACCCCCUUUAGUAUUGGACUUUCCUCCUGGAUGUUCAUACAUUUCUUGGGAUUAUUACCUUGGGGUCACAUACCCAUCUCGCAAUCAAUUGCUUCAUGCAUUGCCUAUCAGUUCACACUAUGGCAUACUUCAUUGCUUGCCCUCAACGUACAGACCCUGACAUUCAGCCUAUGGAGUACAUACUCUGGCUUUGUUUCUUCCCCAUAAGGUACAGACCUUGGCAACUUCUUGCAGCCCAUAGAGUAUAGACUCUGGCUUUAUUCCUUGCCUACAACAUACCGAUCUUGGCAUCCUUGCCCUAAUGAGUUCAGACUCUGGCCAUCUGAUUUUGUCUAUACAGUACUGACUUUGACAUAUUAUUAUGCCUUAUAGUUAAGACUUUGGAAUUCAUUCAUCCAGCCCAUUGGGUUCAGACUUUGGCAUCGUACUAUUUUGCCCUUAUGGAGUUCAGACUCUGGCAUUCAAAUCAGUUCAUUUGCCUUAUAUAGUUCAGACUAUGGCAUGCUUAUACAUCUUGCCCAUGGAGUUCAGACUCUGGCAACCUUUAACAUUGUCUUGAAGUCAGACUUUAGAAUUAUAUCUCCUUUUCCCUUAUUGAGUUCAGACUCUGAGAAUCUGUUCCUUGCCUUUGUAUUAGUUCAGACUAUGGAAUUCAUCUAUCUUGCCUUGUGGAGUUCAGACUCUGGCUAUAUCUCAUUUGUCCUUAUGGUUGAUUACCAUCUUUGGUAAGUGUCAUACUCUCGCUUAUUAAGCAAUCACCUUGCCUCUGAGCAAUCCUAUCAAAUCUCCCUUUGCUUUCAGUUGUAGUAGGCUAAACUACGAUUGCUCUGAUUUUCUCAUUGCACGAUGAGAAUACAUAGGCACAAGGGUUCAAAUCCUCCGUGAGCAUACUUAUUUAUUACUCCUACCUUAGGGCAUUUCUCCAUCCAUCUCCAUGAUACAGUCAUAUACUACCUUUAUUCACUUCAUGUGAUAUACCCUAUUCUUUGAGCCAAAUACAUUAUACCUUUGUGCUCCAUCUUGUACCCCUUUGUGAACCAAGAGAUGUUUCUGUUGUGAAACCAAAAUUAAUUUCCUUUGUUUUCGGCUAUACCAUAUAGUGGCGAAUGUUCAGACAAUCCAUAUAUCGGUUUAUUCCAGUUUUACUCUUGGGUUCACGCUUUCACCCCUUGUUGGGGUUCAAAAUAUUAUCCUCUGGUUCAGGCCAUACCUUGAUCACAACUUCCUUUUCAUCUCCCACCACUAGUUCUUUGAACUACGAAGUUAUGAAUUCCUCAUUGCACUAUGAGUAUACAUAGGCAUGAGGGCCCUAAUCCUCACCGAGCACUCUAUCUAUUUCUUUUCAUUUUCCCCAUUCUUUUGCGAGUAAUCUUUAGAUACAACACUCAUUCGAGCGAGAACAAUCAAAACGGUUCCCAUGGAGUACCAUAGAUGUUAGGGAUGCUAAUACCUUCCCAUUGCAUAAUCAACUUCCUUACCCAACAUAUCUCUUUCCCCUGGGUUUUAUCGAUGUGUUCGGGUAUAUUUCCGCUAGCUGCAUCACCAACUCCAAAAUCUCAAAAAAGUGUUUUUAAAGGAACUCGCAUUAGCAAACCACCUCCUUCACCGUCUCUACCAAAAAUUUCAUUCAUUGACGAGAUGUUAUUUUUUUCAUAAAUACAUCGAACAAAUCGUCAAUGUUGAGGGUGACGGUAAUUGCGAUUUUCGAGCUAUUUCGAUUUUGCUGGGUAAAGGAGAAGAUGAUCACACACUUGUCUGCCAUCAACUUAUCCAUGGUUGAGGACCCAUAUAGAAUUAUACACACGACUUUACCGAAAGAAACAAAAUUUUGAUGCAAUUUAUGAGUCUUUUAUUCCUUGCAUUAGUGGUCCGAAACCAGAGGAAAAAUGAAUGUGCUUCCCUGAAAUGAGUCAUCUCAUAGCAAGUGCAUCUGAUAAAGUGUGUAUUGGUCUUACAAGAUACGAUUUUUUGGAAACUUUUUUUCCACUGCGCACCACCCAACCUCAAAAUCUAAAUGAUCGUAUUUUGUGUAUUAGAAUACCUUUAAAAUUACGACACUUUGUUCAAAUUUAUUUGAAACGGGAUGUCGUAUACCACUUACAUCAGUGGAGUGGACAACUCAUUCAACAAUAAAAUCCGGGACUUAGACGGGCCAAUUUAUGGAAAAGAUGCAAGAGUUUACCAAAUUGAGCGACAUUGAAAGUGAAUAUAAUGCACAAAAGUCAAAGGGGGAACCACUCAUACUUAUAAAUUUAGCCAUCGACAAAUAUUUCGAUUCGUUUUAGUUUUUCGUUAUCAAUUAAUUGUAUAUAAUUUUGUAUUAAUAGUAAGGGUUAAUAACAUUUUUAUAGAAACAUUCUAGUUGUACCUUGGGGGGAAUGACCCAUGAUUGAUGCUUACGUGUCAUGAUAAAUAUCAUGAUAUAUUUUAGUUUUUAGUUUUUUAAUUACAUAUAUGCUUACGUGGACUUACAGUUUUUUAUUUAUGAAUUAUUUCUAUUUUCAUGUGAAAAUUUAUUUUCUUUUUCAUUUAUUUUAAUCAUAACAAUUAUCAAAACUACUUUAAGAAAGUUCUAAAAUUUUGUCAACAAUGAAAUUCUCAUACGGAUUUGGCAAGGAACUUUGAAAGGAGAUUUGAAAGCGUGAACCACAACCAUAGAUAGGAAGAAGGAGAAUUAGGGUUCAACAUAGUUUGAACCGUGUUUAUGUUUAUGUUAGGGACCGAUUCGGGCUAGACCCAAUCUAGGUUCGGUUGAUCCACUAACCAUUAGUUUUUUUUUUAAAUUAUUUUGUGAGUAUACCAUUUGUUGUUUGGCCUUACCUAUUUGUGACUUGGGCAAACCCCACUUUAGGAGCCAUCUUGUCUUAUUUAUUUAUUUAUUUUUGUCUUUUCCUCAACCUUUUUUAUUGCAUUAAUAUUUUAGUAAAAGAAUAUAUAAAAAACAUAAACUUUUUCAUGAAAAAAAAGGUGGUUUACAAUUUUAUAAUAAUUGAUUUUUAUUGUUAUUUCAAUUUUUUUAUCAAUAAAUAAAUAAAAGUAGACAAAAUUUGUUUGAUGCGUGCCUUAGGGUUUCUUUUUCCUAUCAAGCUAUAUCUCAAAAGAAGAAUAUUUCUUUAAGAAUUAUUCCUUUUUUUAAAAAUAAAUUUGAUUCCAUUAUGGUUUGAUUUGUUUGAUCUUUAUUGAUUGUGUGAAUGCUUGUAUUGUUCAUACUUGAUCCAUGAUUUAUGUAACCUUUCACUUAGACCUUCGAUUGUUAGUAAGAUAAAAGUAAAUGUGCAAUAAAAUCAACCUUUUAAAAUAAGAUUCAAACACUCUAUCGAUAUGAAUUUGGUUUUAAAAAGAUCUCACUAUUUUCACCAUCCAUUCAAAGUUAAUUUCAAGUCAUCUCACAAAUUAUUUUCAUGCUAACACGAAUAAACCCUCGAUCAACAUCGAGUUUCUUUUUUGCUUAUUAAAAACUUGAAAAUCAUUUUCAUAAUAAAUCAGUUGAAAAAGGAAUGGGAGGCGCACACAUCUCUACUCCUCGAAUAAGUGAGUGAUUGGUAGACUCCAUAUUGCUCUAACUUUCAUCUUCCGAAUAAAAUAUCCUAAAUAAACAUGGAUGAAAAAGGAAGAGAGGCGCACACAUCUCUACUCCUCGAAUAAGCAAGUGGAAGACACACACCUCGCUACUGCGAAUAUUUUUUCUUCCGCAAAUAAUUUUCAAAAUAUUAAAAUCAAACAAAAAAGGAAUGGGAGGCGCACAACUUGUUGCUCCUCGAAUAAGUGAGUGAUUGGUGCGCGCCAUAUUGCUCGAGCUUUCAUCGUCUUCCUACAAAACACUAAACCAAUCAAACCUAUUUUCUCGCCCCCUUCGUUCAUCCCAAGACGAUGUAAACACGCUUCAUUUCUACCAUGCGCAAGAAGUUAUAACUCUUUUCGCUCGAAUGUGACGAGAACAAAUUUGUGAGAAUCUGGAUUAUGUUAUUCAUUCUAAUGUGAUGCCAAUGUUCACUUCUCCAUGUUUUUAGUAGCAAAUAAUGUUUUCGCUCGAAUGCGACUAAGUACCUUUCGUAAAAACUGAUCAACAAACAAAAAAUUUCUACCCAGAACUACGUAGCCUUGAGUUUUUCAUCGCACCUGAGAUAUGUAGAAGCGAGACCCGUAAUCUCGUCAGGCACAUUAAUAAAAGAAAACAUUUUGCGACCCAUUUUGUUUUCUCUUUACACUUUUGACCACUCGAAGAAAACAUAUGACAUAAGCUAAAAUUUCAACCACAAAUCUAACUAAAUGGUUCCCGUUGAGUGUAACAGAUGUGAGGGGUGUUAAUCCCUUCCCCUCGCAUAAUCGACUCCCAAACCUGAAUUUGAUUGUGACAAACAUUUUCUUUUUCUUUUAAGGAUUUUAUCAAUAUUUCCCCUCCUUUUUGGAAUAAAUCAAUUUUGAUGGUGACUCUGUUAUCUUGACCAUGCAAGCGCUCAUGGUCAUUUUUCGCGUCGCGACACUACUGUACAAUAGUUAUCUGUAUCAAAAACUAAAAUAUUUGUGUCUGUAUCUUGUUGUCUAGGAUUGUUGGAAACGAGAAGGAUGGAAAAAUAAAGUGUGUUUAUUUUUCUAUGUUGUAAAAUCACAAGGUGGUUUUUCUUGGUGAUUAAGUUAGAAUCUUGUGUAUAGAAUCUAGGUUUAGGCUUGUACAAAAUAAUAACAAUAUUGAAAUCUCUUAUAGUGUCUAAGGGGACUGACAUACUCUCAGAUUGUGAUGGGAACUAGUAUGAUUUUCGAUGUUAUUUACUUUAUGCACUUUACUGCUUUCACCACCUAACCAUAAACCAAAAAAUAAAGAAACAUUCAUCUCUAAAAACAAUGUACUUACAGCGAGAGCAUGAUAUUCCGCUUCAGUACAUGAACAAGACACAAAAUUUUGUUUCUUUAAGCGCUAUGAAAUCAAGGAGUUACCCCAUAACACAUAAAUGCUAGUGUAUAUUUCCUAGUAUCCAGACAACGUGCCCAGUCGAAGUCAGCAAAACCAUGCAGCUUUAAGGAAUUAUUGCUGGCAAAAAAAUGCCUCGAGUAGGAAAUGCCUUCAGAUACUUCAAAACUCGAGUGGCUUCCUAACGGUGAGGAACCAAGGGGUUAGCCACAUAUUGGCUAAGGUGACGGACAAUAAAAGAAAUACUUGGCCGUGUGUUUGUAAGGUAAAGUAGCCUGCUAAUUAAUUUACAAUAUGAAGAAGGGUCCUCUAAAGGAGUACCUUCACUAGAUGAGAGCUUCAUGUGAGGAUCAAUAGGUGUGGAGACAAGCUAAGCCCCAAGAAAACCAGUGUCCUCAAGCAGCUAGAGCAUGUAUGUUCUCUGGCUGAGAAAGAUACCAGAAGUAGAACGUGCAAUUUUGAGGCCCAAGAAGUACCUUAGUUGACUGAGAUCUUUAAUGCAAAAUUGUUGAUGCAGGAAAGACUUUACUUGUUUAUUCCACAAUCGAGUCGCUUGUCAAGACAAUAUCAUCAAUGCACACUGAUAAGGAAGUGAAACCAUGAGGUGUGAUCUUGGUGUAUAAUGAGUGACCAACAACAGAUUGAGAGUAGCCUAAUGAAAUGAGAGCUGAAGAAAGCUUAGAAUGCCAUUGUCGACUGACCUGUUUCAGUCCAUACAAUGAUUUUUUUAAGUGUACAAACCUUGUUGGAUUCAAGAUUACCAUAGCCAAGAGGAAGAGACAUAUAUACUUCUUUAUUUAGGUCUCCAUGAAGGAAGGAGUUUUUAACGUCCAGUUGCUCAAGGUGCCAGUGUUUGACAGCUGCAAGAGAUAAAAGAACACGAACAAUAGUAAUUUUGGCAAUUGGGAAAAAAGUAUCAAAGUAAACUACAUGUUCUAAUUGAGUGUAACCCUUGGCUACCAACCGGUCCUUGCAUAUAUCAAUAGAGCCAUUGGCAUGGUACUUGACUUUGUAUAUCCAUUUACAACCAACUGGAGUUUUGCCUAGAGGAAGGUCCACAAUGGUCCAAGUUUGAUUGUCCUUAAGAGAUGCAAUUUCAGUAUCCAUGGCCUACUUCCAACAGUCAUGUUUAGAGGUAUGAAGAUAGGUUUUUGGUUUAAAUAUGGAUGAAAUAGAGCAACAAAAGGAUUUGUAAGUUGGAGAGCAUUUUUUAUAUGAUAUAAAGUUGGAGAUAUGGAAGGUAGUGGAAGAGGAGUUAUUUAUAGAGGCAUAUCUAUUUGAUGAAAGAAAGAGAUUACAAUAAUAGUCUUUGAGAAAACUAUGAGGGUGUUUGGUUCUCAUUGAUUUUUGAGUUAGUAGUGUGGAUUGGUUUUGGGGAAUGUCUGAGGGAGGGUUAGAAUUAUGUGGAUACAUGUUAUCAACUAAGGUAUCAUGAAGGAUGUUGGGUUCAAAGUCAAUAACACUAGGAUCUUGGGUACUUGGUGAUGGAUUAAAAGUAGUUUGAUAUGGACUUGAGGUACUAGAGUCAAUCAAAGUAGGUUGAUUGAGACUUGGAAGGUUAGGGAUAAGUCCUGUUUCAGAAGUAAUAGGAUAAUCAUAAGAAUUUGUGACUGGUGUGACAACAGUAGAAGGAGUGGACAUAUGAGGCUCAGGGGUCAGAGUGAGGGCCUGAGGUGUAACAUAGUCAAUGUCAUAGGUGAUGUCCAUCAAGCUAUGAAUAUAAGUAGGGAGAUUUGUGGCAUUACUUUUGAAUGGAAAGGUGGUUUCAUAAAAGAAAACAUUUAGAGAUAUGAAUAAGUUAUGAGACUGAAGGUCAUAGAGAAUAUAACCUUUAGUACCAUCUUUGAAACCAAGGAGAAUGGCUUUUCUAGCCCUACCAUUGAAUUUUGUUAUGUGGGUCUGUAAAGUUGUUGAAAAACAUAAACAAACAAAGACUUUCAAAUGAACAAUAAUAUAUUAAGUUUUGAAAAAGCAACUCGUAUGGAGAUUUUGACUGAAGUUGAGGACUAGGGAUCCUAUUAGUCUUGUGGACAACAUGUUGAAUACUGAAGUUCCAUAGGUUUAAAGGAAUAUGUGUUAAUGUUUUCUCUCAACCACCCCAUUUUGCUGUUUUUGUUAUAGUGGUGGUGGUGGUGUGUGUGUGGCGGGGGGGGGGGUGUUCUACACAAGAUUUAUGGCGACUUAUGCCUUUGGAAGGGAAAAAGGAACUAAGAGUUAGGAACUUUGAACCCUUAUAUGACCUAAAGCAUUUAAGAGUGGUUUUGAAUUUAUUUCCUAUUGAGGCAAUAAAAUGUAUUACACUUUGUUUUGUUUCAGAUUUUUCCUUAAUAAAAUGACCCAUGUAAACCUUGAAAAUCCAUCAAUAAGAGUUAAGAAAUAUUUAUAGCCUAAAAUAGAAUCAGUAGAAAAGGGCCCCCAUAAAUCAACAUGUAAAAGUUCAAAUGGAGCAUGAGUAUGAGUAAGACUAUUUAGAAAGGGGAAUUUCUUUUGUUUUGCAAAAUGAAACGAAUCACAAGGGUUCAUGUUAUUUUUACAAGGGAUGGGGGGAAAAUGUUUAGCCAUAGUUUUCAUACUGAAAUUAGAAAGGUGGCCUAGUCUUAGAUGCCAAAGUUCAAAGGAAUUAGAAAUAACAUAAUUACUAGUGGAAUAAACAUCACUAAUAUCUAUCACAUAGAGGCCUCUGUGCCAUUUAGUUGUACCAAGCAUUUGCUUUGGAUGGUUCUGCAAAAUAUGACACAAGUUUGAAGAAAAUUUCAGAUAGCAAUCAAUAUUGCUAGUCAAUUUUGUGACUAAGAUUAAAUUAACAUGAAAGUUAGGAAUAUAGUGAAAAUUGUAAAGAGUUAAGGAAAGGGAAAUGACAAUGUUUCUAGAUAUGCAGGCAGUCAUGUGAGAUUCAUUUGGUAAGGAGAUUAAGCUAUUGAUUAACUUAACUCACAAAGAAAGAGUCGCCACAACGCUUUUAUUAUUUCCAAAGAAAAUAGAAAAAGAACGAACCAAACCCAAAGAAGUUUAAAAAAAACUAAUAAAAACAAAGAUAAGGGUCCAGGGGUUGGUUAUGUACAGGGAAGAUACUAGCACCCUAAGCAUCUAUAGUACUCUACAGGAACAUCUUUGAAAAUAUGUGCAUUUAGAUUUAAAAUGGUGUUGUUUACAAAAGAUUAGGGAGAUGAAAAGAGAUUUUUUUUUUAUAAUUUUUGUGUUUGCCAAGACUUUCUGAACCUCGUGCCUACGUACCCAUAAAGUGCAAUGGCGAAUCAAAACCUCGUAGUUCGUGGUAAAAAUAACAAAGAUGUUUGCUUUGAUUCAUUUUUAAUGAAUUUUUUUUUGUCAUUUUAAGAAGAACAUUCAACUAGCCAUCCACAAGUAUGGGAACUUUGCAUCACCAUGAGAAGGACUCUAACUUGGAUAAAUAUCAACUAGCUCUCUUAUAUAGAAAAGAAUUAUUAUCAAUACUAUGGGGAUAGAAAAAUUAUAUAUCAACUAUGGAAAUGACUCGUGUCUAAACUUUGAGAAAAAAGUUUUAAAAAGGAAAAAAAAAAGUGCACAAAGGGCACAAAAAGGUUUGAAUGAGUUAUGCAUUUUUAGUUUUUUGAAAUUGGUUUGAAUAUGAUUAAGAUGUAUUAGAAUUUAUUAAUAAAAGAUUUUGAAAAGAAAUCACUUGAAAAAAGUCAAGGUUUAUUGAGGAAGUAGUUCAAGUUUGAAAACAAGAAUGUUUUGAAAAAAAGAGAGAAGAUUUUGAAAAUCAAAGAAGGGGAGGAGAGGAAGAGAUUAUCCUAGAACAUAAAGUAAAAGCUAUGGAGGAAAGAUCCAACCAAGAGAUAACAACAAGAAUUCACUCCUUUGGAUUAAGCCUUAAGCAAGUCAAAUAAGCAAAGAAUAUUCCAUGUAUCAGAUGAAACCAAAGUAGCCAAGCAAAAUCUUCAAAAGAAUCUCAAAGUCAAAGGUAGCAGAUGAAUCUCAAGGUCUCAAAUCAGAAACUCCCAAAAGAUAAACAAGUAUGCCACUAGUUCUCUUAGAUGGAAAAUAAUUAUCAUCAAUACUAUGGGUAUAGAAUAAUUACAUCUCAACUAUGGAAAUGACUCAUGUCUAAACUUUGAGAAAAAGUUUUAAAAGAAAAAGUGCACAAAGGGCACAAAAUAGUUUGAAUGAGUAAUGUAUUUUUUAAGUCUUUUGAAAUUGGUUUAAAUGUGCUUAAUAUUUAUUAGCAUUUAUUAAGAAAAUAUUUUGAAAAUCACUUGACAAAAGUCAAGGUUUAUUGAGAAAGUGAUUCAAGUUUGAAAACAAGAAGGUUCUUGAAAAAAAAAGAGAAGAUUUUGAAAAUUAAAGAAGGGGAGGAGCUAAGAAGAUUAUCCUAAAACAUAAAGUAAAAGUUAGGGUGAAAAAUCUAACUAAGAGAUAGCAAGCUUUAUGACAUGUGUUAAGUAAGAACACUCUCCUUUGGAUUAAGCUUCAAGCAAGUCAAACAAGCAAAGAAAAAUCCAUGUGUCAGAUGAAACCAAAGUAACCAAGGAAAUUAUUUAAAGUAAUCCCAAAGUCAAAGGUACCAGAUGAAUCCCAAGGUCUCAAACUAUAAACUCCCAAACAAGGGUCAAAAUUCUAGUUCUAACUCCGUAACUCCAUAAUAAUCCCAAUGAUAGUAACCUCAAGUCCAUGAAUUAAGAGAACCAAUUUUUAGGGGUUUUUUCCUUUAUUAAUGUAUUUAAAAGAAAAAGAAGUCUAAAUGGACAAAGAAAAAAAGGCAUAAACAUAAACAAAGGUCCAAGUGGACAAAUAGAAAAUAGCAUAAAUACAAACAAUAUGAUAUGCGAUGCUAAAAUAAAAUCAUAAAGUUAAUAACAAGAAAUAAAUGGCAAAAAAAUAAAGAGCAUAAGAUAAAUGGCAUUAAAGUAAAUUUAAUAUAAUAAUAUGUUAGUAAGUUGUGUUAGUAAUAAAAAAUUGAAAGAUAAUUUAUCAUUUUUGGGAGAAUACUCAACUAUUCGCCCACAAGUAUGAAAAUGUGGACCUCUACAUCACCAUGAGAAAGACUCCAACUUGGAUAAAAUCAAUAAGUAUGCCACUAGUUUUAUUAGGUGAAAAGGAAACAAUAUUUUUCACACAAUACCAUGGGGAGUAGGAGACUUACAAUCUCACUUAUGAAAAUGACUUACUUUCGGAUUCAGGAUAAAUUUAACGUUAUGUUAAGCAAUCGUAAUUGGACUCAUGUUGAAGUCACAACUAUCUGAGCCCGGUCAAUAAUAAUAUUUAUGUUAAUACAUGCUAGAGAAAUUAUAUGUAAAUCAUUCUCCUAAAGAUAUGCCACACAAAAAAAGGAUGGAUCAAGCACAAAUGUUAAGAGAGUUGUUCAUUACAUCAAUCAAUACUUCAUGAUACUUAGGACAAGCUUAUGCAUCAAUCUAAAGUACCUUAAAUAUUCUAUGAUCAAUUAGGAGGUAGAUUUGAAGUGAUGAAAGUUCAUCAAGUACCAAUUCAUACAUCAUAAACAAGAUGAACACAAACCAUCCAAUUGAUCAAGAGAAAAAAGGAAGCGAAAGAGAUUAAGAAGAAGAAGAAGACGAGAGAAACCAAACUCAAAUUGGAUCAAAGGAUUGAUCAAGUCAUCAUCAAAAUCAAUCAUCCAUCUUGGUAGAUUUGGGUUUUCACCCCAUCAACACCGAAGAUCCAUUGAAUUUGAUGAGAUUUAUGAUCAAAAUAGCCAAGAUCCAAGGUCAACAGAAGUCAACAAAGGUCAAACAAGCAUAAAAUGAAAGAAAAUAAAAUAAAAUGCAUCAAAAAUAUUUUUUAAAUGAAUUUUAAAAGGCAAAUAAAACAAAAAAUUCCAUAAAACCCUUUAAAAUACCAAAUAAAUGGCCAAGAAAAUUAUGGAAGGUUGAAGAUAAAAUAAGGAACAUAAAAUAAAUUUUUCAAAUAUUUUUAAUGCAUAAAAGUAUUUUUAAACUAAUUAAAAAAAGGGGAAAAAGAGGAAAUCCAAGAAAAUAAAAUAUGGAAAAAUAAAAAUCAGAUGAAGAAAAAAAAAAGAAAAUUUUAGAAAAUAUUUUGGGAUUUUUUGGAUAAAAAAUGAAUUUUCUAUAAAUUUUUAAAGAAAAUGCAAUUUAAAAUAAAAAAUAAAAAGAAAUAAAAAACAGAAAAAAAUAGAGGCAUUGGAUCUGACCUCAUUAAUUGACGUGGCAAAUCCAACAACUAUCAGGCUAGGGCGCAUGGUGGAAAAUAGUUAGAAUAAAACAUGGAAUCACAUUCAAAAUGGACCAAUCAAAACAUUUCAAAAUGCCAACGUGGAUAGCCAACUCAGAUGGCCUGAAACAAAUCCAUUCAUCUUCUUCGGUAAUCCCUCAUCGGAGUUUCAUCAUUUGACAAAGUAAGAACAUGAGACUACCACCAAUGUGAUCGUCUCCUCAUCACGAAUUCAACCUAAUGCUCAAAAUUAAUUUAUCUAAAUUGAGUAUGGAGAAUUUCAGAGAAGUUUUAGAAACAAGCAAGUCACAAAAAGUAAAAUUAAAUGAUGAACAUUAUCACUCAACACCAGAUAAGUUAGGGGAAAGCAUAAGAGGGUGAAGGACUACAUUGUGGUAACUCGUUUGAGUUCAAAUGAUGCUCAAAACUACCUUGUCCAAAUGUAGAUCGGAGGUUGAAGAAGCUUGAUCUGGUCAGGGCACUUCAGAAGGUCUUACAGAUUGAGAAUUAUUGCAAAAUCUUCAUAGGAGACUGAAAGUUUUAAUUGAAUCAAGAAAUUGAACUGAAACAAGCUAGAAAUCAAACACGAUAGCUCAAUUUUCUAGAAAUGUUUAAUAGUGGAGCAGGGGUUUUUUAGCUCUCCAAAGCUUGGGAAUAAGGCAAAUAUAUUGCUCUAUUUAUAGGGAAGUGAUUGGUGAUCUCAUACGUGCCAAAUGAUGCUUAAUUCGUGCAAAACAAAUUUGCUCAUGAUGUGAGAAAAGUGUGACUUGUAAAACCAUCAAAACUCAGCCAAAUUAUGCAUUAAAUGAUUCAUUUAACUUUUGAAGACUUGAUUAAUCAUGUUUAGGUCCAAAACGUGUGGUAAAUUGGCUUGUAAUUAAGGAUUAGUGAAGUUCAAAAUUCUGAACAUGGUGAUUUCUUCAGUUCCAAGUUACCAUGUUUAAUUCAAUGGGGCAUCUUGCCUAGGAGGCUUUUUGAUCUCAUUUUUCUUGCAAUUUUUGGACAUCAUAUCAAAGAUUACAAUGUGCCAAGAAAGGUUGCAUUUGGAUGCUUGAGCAGAAGUUUAUGGCAUGUUAAAGUUGGCACAAAAAUUUGGUUAUGCAACUUGGAAAAUUCUAAGUCCCAGAUGGCUAAAAAUGACCCAUAAUGUCUCAAAGAAUUCCAUGGUCUUCCAAGCAUAAUUUGACUUUGAUCCUUGAAGAAAACUUGUAGAGGGCAUCACAAAUGAUAUUAUUCAAAAAGAAUCAGCGUCAAAUGUUGGAAAUUGAAGAAGUUAUAAUCCUUGAAAGUUGAGAAAAAGUCACUUGAAAAUAGGUCAAAUUUCACUAGGUCCACAAAUGACCUAUAAUGUCUUCAAACUUUUGAUGAUCCUCCAUGCAUAAUUGGAUCUUGUAAUGUAAAGAGAAGUUAUAGAGGAUAUUUAGAAGAGUCAUAUGCAAAAAGAAACAUUCAAAAAUAUUGAGGAUUGAAGGAAUUGUGAACCUUGGAACUUUGACUUCAAAUGUUGAAUUUUUGGUCAAACCUCUUGGAAUAAACUUGUGUACUUGGACUUUUAUUGCAUUUCAAGGUACAUGGAUGAUCAUAUGAACUAAAAAUAAGGUGUCCUUAAAUUUAUUUUUAUUAAAUUUCUUAAAGUUUGAGGUAACAUAUUGAAGAAGGCAUGGAAAUAAACACAUGAACCUUUGCCUUUUCUUGAGACCGAUUAUCCACUUUUGUGUAACCGAUUACAAGCGCAAUAUUUUGAUUUUUCCUGCUAUUUUACUUGGUCAAUUCAGUUCCCAAUUGUGUUGUAUCUCUUGUAUAAGUGUUUAGAAUGCACACUCAUCUAAGGUUAAUGCAAUAAUAAUCUCUCACCCUUAAUUCUCCUCUUUCACACUCUACAUCCAAAGUAUCUCCACCAUUGUUCAUCAAACUUGUUGUGUCUUGUUCCAACAUUUGACAUCAAGAGUCUGGUUCAGAUCCACAAACACCUAGUGUGCAACAUGAAUUAUGUUUCCAAUGAAAGAAUCCCUGCAAACCUACAUAUCCUUGAUGCGAAGAAUUAUGAUAAAUGGUGCAAGAAAAUGAAGAUGUUGUUUGGCUACCAAAAUGUUCUUAAAGUAAUCAAGAAUGGUGUUAGCCCUCUUGUUCAAAAUGCAACAGAGGUGCAAAAAGAAACACAUAAGAAAGAGAAGAAGAAAUACUUCAAAGUGUUAUUCUUGAUCCAUCAAUGUGUUGAUGGCGACAAUUUUAAGAAAGUUGGUGAUUGCGAAUCGUCAAAGCAAGUGUGAGAGAUCUUAGAAAAGACAUGUGGAUGGGUUGACAAGGAAAAGGUGGCGAGGUUACAAACUUACAAACACCAGUUUGAAUUGAUUCAAAUGGAGGAAAAGGAGACAAUAAACUAUUUUGCAAUGAGAAUCACCCGGUUGGUGAAUCAAGUGAAGGCAUGCAAAGAAACUGUUACAAAGCAGUAUGUUGUCGCUAAAUCUUGCAUUCUUUAACACUAAGAUUUGACAAUAUAGUUGUGGCGAUUGAGGAGUCAAAGGAUCUCACGAUGAUGAGUAAAGAGAAGCUGCAAAGUUCUCUCGAGGCUCAUGAUAAAAGGAUGGAAGAGAGGAAUAACGUUAAGGCAAAGGCGGAGAUCGCUUUGCAAGCUCGUUUCAAUGAGAAGGACAAGAGAUCGAAAGGAAAAUGGCCCAAGAAAAGAAAAGGGAAUUUUCAUAAUUUUGGUGGAAGAGAGUCCUAAAAUUCAAAUAAUUUUACUUGUCAAAGGGGUGAGAGCAUCUUCAACAAACAUGGUGGUCAAGGCAACUUUAGAGGUAGAAGGAAGAGGUUUGACAAGAGCAAGGAGUAGUGCUAUAAGUAUCAAUGGUUUGGCCAGUUUGCAAAAGAAUGCAAUUUGAACAAGAAGGAAUCUCAAGGGGAUGAAGCCAAGGUUGCAAGAUAAGAGUUUGAUAAAGAGAAUACAUUUUUGGUCAUGAUCAAAGAAGGGAAUUGUAGCAGCAAACAACUGCGGGACAACAACUACAACAACUCAACGAAUGCUGAAUAGGUUGGUUGAAUGAUACGAUUAACCAAUUGCAUGAAGAGGAAGACGCCAUGAUGAGUUUGAAAGGAGUUCAAUGCAGUGAGGAGUGGUAUUUGGACUUGGUUUGUUCAACUCAUAUAACGGGAAUAAAGGAUUGGUGUGCCAAAAUCAAUUGUGCCAUGAAGAACAAAGUAAAGUUCGCGGAUGACACCACUCUAAUAUUCAAUGGGAUCAGUGAUGUUUUAAUCAUGAGAAGGGAUAAUGGACAUUCCUUGACCAUAAAUUCUUGUACAUUUAGGGAAUCAAAUGUAACCUUCUGAGUAUUGGCCAAUUUCUUGAGAAGGGUUAUAAGAUUCACAUGGAAGACAAGGGGUUGCGGGUUAUGGAUGUAAGAUGAGUCUUGGUCCUUAAAGCGCAUAUGGAUGCCAAUAAAACCUUUAAGGUUGAGUUGAAGGUUAUAGAGCAUAAAUAUCUUGCUACUGUAACAAGUAGACAAUAUUGGAUUUGGCACUAUCGUCUUAGGUAUCUCAACUUUAGAGAUUUCAAAGACUUUCAAAAGAACAGAAUGGUAACGGGGCUGCCAUCGAUCAACAUACUAGCUGAAAUUUAUGAAGAAUGUAUGCAAGCGAAGCAACAUAUGGGAAAAUUAAGAAAGUAGAUUCUAUUGGUGGCAAUAUGUAUUUUUUCACAUUUAUCGAUGAUCAUAGUACGAAGCUAUGGACAUACCUAAUCAAGAGAAAUGACGAUGUAUUUGAUGAUUGUUUGUCAUUGCAUAUAUUUAAUCGAAGAAUCAAAGAAAAAUAAGUGAAAUUUGAGAUAAAAUGAAGAAGAAUGAGGAAAAAAUAGCUAAGUGUGAAAAUUGUGGACUUAUUGAAAAUUUGAGUGAAAAGGGGAGCAAAACCGUGCAACCACGGGAAUAAUCACGCGCACCAUCACAUAGCAUCGUGCACGCGAUGGGGUCUUUAAAGCAGCAUUACACGCGCGAUACAAGGAAUCACGCGCGUGAUAAGUACUUUUUAUGGGCUUUUUAGACACGUUCUAGUCCAUUCUAACGCCUUUAAAAGAGGAUUUUCUGCACUUUCACAAGGGUUACAAAAUUGGGAGAUCUAGGCACGAUUUUGAGAGCACAAGUGGUGAUUUUUAUAGCAUUGGAAGCUAUUGGAGGCCAUUACUUCAACGUAUUUCACAUGUUAUUUUCAUCUAUCAAUUAUGGCAUUUUUAAUUGCAUUAUGAGUAGCUAAGCUCUUUUAUAUUAGGUUGUGUUAUGAUGAACCUAUUUCUAUAUUGUUGGAAUCUAUGUUGAUUUAACCAUUCUAAGAACCGUUUGAACUAUAAUUCCAUUCAAUUGCUUUUUGUUCAUAAUUCCUUUUAUGUGAGAUACUCUUUUAAUCUGAUUUUGGGCACAUAGGGAAUAUUGACUAUUAGUCUAUGUGUUGGACCUAGGGAAAUUGUUGUACUUACGCUGGUUGAAUAGGAAUAGGAGACCCUGAGUAGUGGCAUAGAGAAUUAAUGUUUUAUACAUCACCUAACCUUGCUUACGCUGGCAGACUAGGGAUAGAAAGCUCUGAGUAGUGGUUAGUGAGUUAUUUCGCGAGGGAUCAGCUAUAACGGUUUUGUUAAUUCGAUGUGGUGUUAUAGUGAUAAGACCAUUCGUAAAAGAUAUAAAACAUCAACAAUAGAGGAAUAGGGGAUUCUAGAACACAAUAUGCUCGUUUUCGUGAUAUUGUUUAAUUGUUUAUUUACUUUUCGCACUGAAACUCGAAAACCCCCCUUUUUACUAGUUUUCUAUAAAUUGCACACAUUUUGUCUUGCCUGAAGGAAAUUCAUGUGGAUUCGAUCUUUUUAUUACUUCGACAAUAUCAAUACACUUAUCGAGAAAUCAUUAAGUUUUUGGCGUCGUUGCCAGGGACUGUUGAUUUUUCAACAAGGCGAUGUUUGUGCAAUUUUUAUUUUUAUUUUUUUAGUCUUUUAGUUUUUUUUUUCUUUUUCUUGUUUAUCAUAGUGCUAUUGAGGUAUUUUUUGUUUGUGUAUGCACAAUUUAGGAUCAACAUUAAUACCAUUGGUUCUAGAAAUUGAAAGAACUACACGUGCUCUCAGAAAAGCAGUUAGAGAAGCAGCUCUGAAAGGAGGAAUACUAGAAGAAGAGCAACUAUCAAAUUCUUCUGACUCUGAAGAAGAAGCUGUAAUGGAAGCUGCACAACCCCUAACUAUGGGGCAUUAUUAUAAAUUAACCGAUGAAGGACACUUAUCAAGAGGGUUUGUGCUGGUAGACCCUGCUAACUUUGAUAUUAAAAAUUAUGUGCUUUAAGGUUUGAGAGAAAAUUCGUUUGAUGGGAACACGAUUAGAGACCCAUGGGUGCAUCUUACACACUUUUAUGAAAUAACUUAAAUGUGCAAACCAACUGAUGCCACUGAAGAGCAGGUUAAAUUGAGGUUGUUUGGGUUCUCACUAAUUGGAAGGGAGAAAGAUUGGUUACUUUGCCUUCCGAAUAAAACGAUACAUACUUGGAAGGAAUUAAAGGAUAAAUUCCUCGAAAUAUUUUUCAUUACUACUCAGUUUACCGAGCGCUAAGCAGAAAUUGUGAAUUUUGUGCAGCAGGAAACUGAGUCACUUUAUGACUCUUGAGAAAGAUUCAAAUUUUUGUUACGCAGAUGCCUGAAUCACAACAUGAAUAAUAUGGUGCAGAUGUAAAACUUCAUUAAAGGUCUCAAGAGUCAAACUCACAUGUUAUUGGAUGCUUCUACGAGAGGUACUAUCUGAAAAAUGAAUGAACCACGGGUAAAAGAUCUCAUUAAGAAGAUGUGUAUGAAGGAGUACCGAUCCAAGAAUGAAAGGUCGGUCAAGAUGGGAAUUGUGGGCACGCCUAAAGGUAUGUUACCUAUUGAUACCCACACUGCUCUUUUAGCUCAGAUUGAAUUAUUAAAUAAAAAUCUAGUUGGAAGCAGCUUAGUUAAAGCUAAUGUAGGCUAGGUACAAGCACUUGGGUGCGAUUUAUGUAGAAGAGAACAUGCGAAUGAAAGGUGUUCAUUGGAAGAGACAAGUGAGGAGGUCCAAUUUGCUAAUUUUUUAAAAAAUAACUUGUAUUCAAACACAUACAAUCUGGGUUGAAAAGACCAUCCAAAAUUCCGUUGGAAUAAUAAUCAAAAUUCAAAUGCUAACUAAGGGAUGCAACAAAGUCAACAAGCUCUGUUUCAAAGGAAUCCCAUCACAGUUGGUAGAGACCUCACAAAAUUUCAUUAAGGUCACUCAAAGUAGAUUUGAUAGGGUAAAGAAGACCCAUGAAUAAAUGAGUAGAAACUAGGAUGCGUCUAUCAAAAUUUUGGAGAUGAAGAUUGGUUAAUUAUCUAGAAAAGUAGCUACUUUGUCAAGCUCAAGUGGAGGAUUCACCAGUAACACCGUUGAUAACCAUAAGAAUGAUAACCCUAAAUAUAGGUUUAAGGGCAAUUACUGAAAAGGAUAAGGAUGAGAUAGUUAAACAAUGUGUGGUUAAGGCAUAUGAGGGUACCUGUAGCACCUCAAAUUUGCACCCCCCAUUCAUGCAUUCAUUUCAUUUUUUAGGUCAUUUAUCAUUCCAUAUUGCAUUGCAUUUUGGCAGUCAGCAUUGGCAUCAAGAGAUUCAUCAGUACAAAAGAGAAAGUUUUUUCUUGAGAUGAAGGCCAAAUGAUUAUACUAAAGAGCUUAUAUGAGCCCAGGUUCAUUUUGAAGCAAAGUUACCAAGUGGUAGAGGCCCAAACUCAUCAGUGCACUUCCAGGUCAUCUGAGGCCCAUACAAGUCAACUAUGCAGUCAACUAAGGGCUUUGAGUUGGGGAAAUGGUUUGAGACACUUCAUUCAUGUCCAAAAGAGGCUUUUUCAUCAUGUCAAACAUCUACCUUGAAGAUUUUGAAGUCAAAUCAAAAGUUUCCAAAAAUGGAAAGUGACCUGUAAUUCAAAGUUUCCAAAAAUGGCAAGUUUUUAGACCACAUUCAACUUGACUUUCCAACAUCAAAUAAGCUUCAAAUGAAUUUUUGGUCAACAUGAAAGUUGAAGAUAUUUCUCUCCUAUUUCCAAAAAGUCCAAGAGUAUGAGUAUCUGAUGAAUGGUUGAGAAGUUAUGAACAAAUGAUUGCAAAGUAUGCAUGGAACUUCAAAGUGCCAUAACUUUUGAUCCAAAACUCCAAAUUGAGCCACUCUUUUUGCAAAAUGCUUGUAUUGACCAAUAUUUUCCAAAUCAAACAUUGCAUUGCAUGAAAUUAACUCACAUGAUCAUUUGUCCAUGCAUGUAUAUUUUGGAGGGAAAAUGGAUAAUUCAAAUUCUAUUGAUCAUACAUGAAAAAUUCCUAUGCCAUUGUGAUCUUUGGAUGAUUUUAAGUGACUUUUAACCAUGCAUGUGCACUGUUCACGUGUAAAAUCUCCAUGCACCACACAUUUACCAUUUUUGCAUUACACCUCAUUUCUCAUUAAGUUUCCAUUAGCCAAGCCUAAUUGUGAUUAGCAUGAUAAUUAACAUGUGAUAUAAAUAGAUAAUCCUAACUGAAUUGGAUGAGAUUACACAUUCUAGAUCUAGAAAUUGGAUUUCCCUCCAAAAAUUCUCUCAAUUCAAACAUCAAAUUUCUACACAUAACUCAUGAAUUUUCUUGCAUAAUUGUGUUCAUCUUGCAUCAUUGAGUAAGAAUCAAGGCCUGGACUGAAGGAUUUGGUGCAGAGUCGAGCUCCACGAAUGCAUGAAAAUGAAGAAGGUUUUCUGAAUUUGAGCUUCAUUUAGGUAGUUUCAAUUGCUAUUCCUUCCAUAAAGCUUCACCUCAAGGUUGAUAGAGGAGACCUGGAGCUGGAGGAGGCUUGAAUCCACGAAAUCAUCGCACUGUUCUUCAAGAAGGUUAAAAUUUGAAUCUCAUUAUUUGCCAUUUUAUGCACAUGAUCUUGUAGGUCGUGCUCCACUGAUGAUUCUGAUAUGAAUAUUAUUGAUUUUGGCUGGAUAUUGAGUGAGUUAUGAUGAAUUAAAGUUUGUAUGCUAAAUUUGUUCUUGCUCGAUCCAUGAGAUAUGUGAUGAUUUAGAGUGAAUUAGGCAUGGAUUUGGAAUGUACGUUAUGCAAGCUUUCGAUCCAUAUCAUUUUUGCAUGAUUCUAGAAUUUUUUUGAUGCACCUUCAUCGGCGUACCACCGGAGAAGAUGACCGAAAGUACUAUUCCGGUCAUCUGGUUCAUGAGCUAGGGUUUUAAUGUGCGCACCUGUAACCAUGCAAGCCCCAGUUCGAUCCUUGGCAACUGUUAUUUUAAAAUCCAUUUAUUUUCUCCCUAUGAUCCAAACGUUGCGUUUUGCUCUAGCGCCCUUGUGAACAAGCCUUGCCUCUGUUCGAUUCUUGGCCUGGCAAUUAUCCCAAUUGAUUUUAUUGAGCGCGCCUAUGACCCUAUAGUCCUCAGUUCGAUUCAGGCGCUUUGCAUUUUUUCUUUUAUUUUCAAUUGAAGCGCUGCCUUGGACCUUUGUGUCCUGAGUUCAAUCCCUGACCAAGUAUUUUUCAUCUUUUAAUUCACAUUUCAUUUUUUCACAUGAUUGUUGUGAUGUCUAUUAUUUUUUGAUGUGAUUUUCCUAAUUUUUGUAUUUCUGGAAUUUUAAAUGUGUUUGUGUGAUUGAACAUGAUGCAAAUAUGACAUGUUAUGCUAAAUGUUUUAUGAAAUGCUCAUAUUUUAUCCAAUUGCCUUGAAAUUUGACAUGCUUGAUCUAUACAUGUGACAUGAUUUUUGAGCUUUUGUUUGGCAUUUUUAGCACAUUCCAUCACUGUUUGGGACACAUGAACAUAUGAUGUAGCAUUUGGUGUCACAUUCUUGACCUUGCUUGUGUUCAUUUUCAUUUGCAUGUCAUUUGAUAUCUUCUGGACCUAAUUCUUUGCAUGAUGCUUGUGUUUAAAAUUUUGAUCUCACAUAAAAAAUUUCAUGAUCAUUGGAUGCAUUUCUGUUUUAAUGUGGAUUUUCUACCUUUUUCUUGCCUUGUGUAGAUGAUGAAUAAGCACCACUGUUGAUUGACUGUUUGGUUUGUCUGAAUGUGAUAUUGACUGUUUGACUUUUGUACAGGUACAUUAGUCGCUUUUAGCUCUCGCUUGAGCUUUGCUUUGGUUGUGGUUGAUAUACCACCUAGGUAAUCACUCUAACUCCAUGUAGUCUGGAAGCCCUGUCGUUUCUUUUGGCAUGCAUUUGGUUGAAGUCCUCCUUAAGAGGCAAUGACUGUGUUUAUUUAUAUUUAUGCCAAAGACCUCCUUGUCGAGGCAUGUUACUUGUUAAGUCCUCCUAAGUGAAGAGGCAAUUGACAGAUGGAAAGGAUUAGCAAUCAAUCCCCUGUUAUUCGUUGAAUCGUUCAUUAUGCUCGCACUAUAUGCUGAUGCUCUUGAACCUAACCCAAGAUCCUUGUAUAUAGAGUCAGUCAAGUGGAAUAGGGUCCCUCUUUCUGGAUCCCCAGGUUUUCAUUGAUUUGAGCUCACCCAGGCCAGGGUUAAGAGCAUGAGGUCUUAUCCUCAUUACCUUUCAUCAGCUUCACCCUAACUCUCAAUGUUAGUGGUUAAGAGCUUCAGCACACCCCUACAGUUUUGGCUUGUUUGUCGAGGUUGAUAUGACCCCUUGACUAAAGCCUUACCCUCAGAUGUUUGAGCCCCUUGUUGGCGUGUUUACUUCAUGUAUAUGUUUUUGUGUGGUGUGAUUGUAUCCCCAUAGGAUUGCUAGACUUCGUAUAGUCUCUCGUUUGCAUGUCAAUUAAGGUAGCAUGGUUCCUUCGUCUAGGACUUCCUUUCUUGCGUGAGCAUUCCUAAAACACAAACAAACUUUAUCUUCUCUUAAGGACACGUUGACUCCUUCUACUACAGGUGAGUAAGUCUCCAAAGGUCGAGCAUCCAUCUAGGACUUCCUUUCUUGCGUGAGCAUUCCUAAAACACAAACAAACUUUAUCUUCUCUUAAGGACACGUUGACUCCUUCUACUACAGGUGAGUAAGUCUCCAAAGGUCGAGCAUCCGGUAGAUUGCAUAGUAACGUUGUUCACCUAAAAAACACAACAAACAGAAAUAGUUUAGCCGAACUACGACAACUCUGAUUCUCAUGUUCAGAUGAGAUACGUAGGCAUGAGAUGCGAUGUCUUGUCGAGUUUGACUGACGACUAACAUUAAUCCUUGCUAGUUUUCAUCCUCGUUGCGAUUCUUUUCUCUCGCCCUCGUUGCGAUUGAGACCUUCCUUUUCUCUUGCCCUAGUUGCAAUCGAGACCCUUCUUCUUUUCGUGUGUGUUUGUUAGGAGUCGGAUAUAAGUCCAUCUAUUGGCAUUCUGUUUCCUGUUUGCGUGUGUGUUUGUUAGGAGUUGGAUGUAAGUCCAUUUAUUGGCAUUCUGUUUCCUUGUGUGUUUGUUCGGAGUCGGAUGUAAGUCCAUCUAUUGGCACUCUGUUUCCUGUUUGUAUUUCCUUGUUAGGAGUUGGAUGUAAGUCCAUUUAUUGGCAUUCCGUUUCCUUUGAGUGUUCUUUUGACGUCUCAGCGUCUCUUUUCAGUGUUUUGUUUCGGCGUGCGUUAGCCGAGCUACGAGUGCUCUGAUUCUUCCUCUGGUUAGAGAAGAUACGUAUGCAUAGGAUGCGAUGUCCUAGCGAGCACGUCUCCCAUUUCCCCGAACUACGUCGACUCUGAUGUUUGUUUCUGACAAACUACGUAGGCCCAGGAUGCGACAUCCUGCCGAGUCUGCUUUCUCCGUCUCCUCUUCCGCCUGUUUAUUAUUCCAUUGCGUGCAGUCUUUGAGCAGUUUUAUUAGCAACCUUAUUCUUUCCUUCUGAGCGUGGAUCCCAUCGAGUACGACGGACGUGAGGGGUGCUAAUACCUUCCCCUUGCGUAACCGACUCCCGUACCUAGCAAUCUUUGUUCGUAAGACCAUUCCUUUCCCUUUUUCAGGUUUACUUCGAGGGUUUCCUUUCCCUCCUUUGGGAUAAAUAACGCACGGUGGCGGCUCUGUGUCUUUUCCCGCCGGUUGUUUUUCGCGAUGCGACAGUACCAAUCAAGGUGACCAAGAGGAAAGAGGAGUCACCAUUGAUCAACUUAUAGACAAAAAUUCUCCUUGGAGGAGAACAAAGAGGCAUAUCUUGACUGAACCAAAUCCUCCUUUACCAGAUUACGUAAAACCACCGUAGCCGAUAAUUAAAAAGAAAUUGGUUCAAGAUGAUGAAGCGGGAAUGUUUGCAAAGUUCAAGGAAGUUCUAGCUACUCUCCAGGAAAGUAUUUCAUUCCAUGAAAUUUUAGAACUAAUGCCUAAGUUUGUUAAAUUUAUGAAGGCGUUUCUAAAUGGGACGGAAGAGAAAUGAAUCAAGGAACAUGUAAACAUGACCGAAAAUGAUGAUAUGGUAAAACCUCAAUCCUUACAACCUAAACUAAAAGACUCAGGUAAGUUUAUUAUUUCUUGUAAUAUCAGUGGAUUCAAUAUUCUGCAUGCUCUAUGUGAUCUGGGGUUUAACAUAAAUGUCAUGCCACUGAAAACUGUCAAAGAAUUAAAAAUGGGUGAGAUCACACUGAAUAACAUGACUCUCACUCUAGUUGAAUCGUCUAUUACUCAAUCGAUUGUUACUUUACGCAACAUAUUAGUAUCUGUGGACGACUUAUUGUUUCCUAUAGAUGUUGUAGUGCAUGAUACAAAAGGAGAUUAAGGAGGAUCUGUUAUUCUUGGACGUCCAUUCUUGGCAACCGAGAAAGCAAAGAUUGAUGUGGACACUGGUCAACUUAUCUUGAAGUCAAAUAAAAGGAAUGUGGUUUUCAAGGUAUUUGACUGGGCAUCUUAUGUGGAUAAUUUGGAUACUUUAUACCAUCCGGAGGAAAAAGGUAGAAAAGUAGACAAAGGAACAAUGAGAAAGGAAGUGACAGGCGUGAGGGUAUCCCUUGCACCUGACGUACCUUAGACAUGGAUUGUCAAGCUAGUUACGUAAAAAAAGCGUCUGAUGGGAGGCAACCCAUCCGUAAGAAAUUAUUUUUAUGUCAUAGUGAAUUUUUAUUUUUCUAACCUUGUUAAUUUUUGUGUUAUGUUGUUCGAAGAGAAAAUAGGUAAAAGAAGAAAAGAAAGAAAAAGAAAAAGGGAAGAAAAUAGAAAAAGAAAAGAGAUAGGAAAGUUUCAGCCCCUGGAAUCAUCACGCAUGAUAAUAUAAACUAGUUAUUUACAAUAAAUUUUUUUGAUAUUUAUUUAAAGAAGCACAAUUAAUAUAAAGACAAUAACACACCAAUCACACAUAAUAAUUUUAGAAUAAUUAUACUCUAAGAUUUUGAGAGUCGUGAUAUCUCCUCUUCUUAAAUGUUUAAGAAUUGGAUCUCUCUCACUAAUCUCUAUCCCCUUAUUUAUUUUAAGAAUAAACAUAUUGAAUUAAUAAAACAUAAUUGCACAUUUCUUAUAGCGAUUAUACAAACAACUAUCAAAGUUGAAAAAACUAAAGAGAGGUCAACUCAAUCUUUAUCAAAUUAAAUUAAAGUUUAUUUUAAAACACAAACAACUAGUUCAUUAAAAAGAUAACUUGUUUAGUACACAAAUGAGAUCUUACUUAAUACAUAGAAAUAAGAUCUUACAAAACAUAGAUAUUAAAAACAUAGGAACAACAUGAAAAGUUUUCAAAAUGACAUAGACAUUGAUUAACAAAGACAUGAAUUAGUUUCGGGUAUUUUUUAACCAUCCAUCAAGGUAAACUUGUUUGGAGUCAGGGGUGAAUUUUUCUUUCUCGGCUCGGAUAUCUUUCAACCAUCCAUCAAGGUAAACCUGAUUGUUGUCUGAGGUGGAUUUUGUUGUCUCGGCUCGGAUAUCUUUCAACCAUCCAUCAAGGUAAACUUGGUUGGAGUCAGAGGGCAAUUUUAUUUUUUCAGCUCGAGUGUCUUUCAACCAACCAUCAAGAUAAACUUGUUUGGAAUCAGAGGUGGAUUUUGUUUUCUCUGCUCGGGUAUCUUUCAACCAUCCAUCAAGGUAUACUUGGUUGGAGUCAGGGGUGGAUUUUGUUCUCUCAUUUCGAGUAUCUUUCAACCAUCCAUCAAGGUAAACUUGGUUGGAGUCAGACAUGGUUUCUGUUUGCUUAGCUCGAGUAUUUUUUAACCAUCCAUCAAGGUAAACUUGGUUGGAGUCAGGGGUAGAUUUUUCUUUCUCAGCUCGGGUAUCUUUUAACCAUCCAUCAAGGUAAACUUGUUUGGAGUCAGAGGUGGGUUUUGUUUUCUCUGCUCGGGUAUCUUUCAACCAUCCAUCAAGGUAAACUUGAUUGGAGUUAGGCAUGGACUUUUCUUUCUCGGCUCUGGUAUCUUUCAACCAUCCAUCAAGGUAAACUUGGUUGGAUUCAGAGGUGGAUUUUGCUUUCUUUGCUCUGGUAUCUUUCAACCAUCCAUCAAGGUAAACUUGGUUGGAGUUAGGUAUUGACUUUUCUUUCUCAGCUCUGAUAUCUUUCAACCAUCCAUCAAGAUAAACUUGGUUGGUGUCACCUGUAGAUUUUGCUUUCUCAUCUCGAGUAUCUUUCAACCAUCCAUCAAGAUAAACUUGGUUGGAUUCAGAGGUGUCUUUUGCUUUCUUUGCUCUGGUAUCUUUCAACCAUCCAUCAAGAUAAACUUGAUCAGAGUCUUGGGAGGAUUUGGUUUUCUCUGCUCGUGUAUCUUUCAACCAUCCAUCAAGAUAAACUUGGUUAGAAUUAGCAAUUUGUUUUUGACUCUUCAAUGGAUUUUUGAGCCAACCAUCAAGGUAAGGUUGAUCAGCUUGUAUUUCUUCUACAUUCUCUUGCUGAAGUUUGAUAUAUCGGGCAAAGCUUCCUUGUCCAUUCUACGAUACAAUUGAAUAAAUGGAUAUUAGUGAGUUAUUUUUGGAUGGUAUAUAUGACUAUAAAAACAAAAUUAUGUGUUUUAUG